UCAAAUUAAUACUUUUUUGUUCUGUUUGCAACAAAGCAGAAGCAGUCUCCACUGAAGGAAUGGACACUGAGAGUGACAAAUGAUAAGCAGUUCUAUUUGUCUUUACCAAAUAGGUAUACUCAAUAUCUUUAUAUAUUAACAAAACAUGCCCAGCAAUCGCUUGGAUGCGAUGCGGUACUUAGGUACAAAGGAUAAAAAUAUCAGAUAUUAAAUUGGCAUGCUUAAAAGGUGUAAAGGCAGCUGCCGUCGUCACUCCUCGCCGUUGGGUCGAAGUUCUUGGCAGUCUGGUCGGUGCAUCCUGCCGGCACAGGCAAAGUACCUUGCUGUGCCCCUUUACCUGCAAUUUAAUUGUUUUGGACGAUCUGAUGAGAAGAUGAGCUUGAUAUGCCGGAUGAACAGGUAAGAAGAAUAGGCCUCCACUGUUUGUUUAUGAUUCACUCUCUUUUGUUUCAGAAGUAAGCAAGUGAGAAGUAAGUAUGUAUGUAAAGUAGGUGCUGAAAGUAUAAAAGGAUUGUGCGUAGUUCACCUCCUCCUAUGCAGCAAGAGAUGGUGGGUGUGUAUGGAGAAUGUUCUAACCGUAGAAGGAACCAGUCUUCAUCGCAUCCUGGUUAGCAUCACCCAGAGCUGCCUGGCUCAUGUAGGUGUCAGCAAGCUGCACACGCUUGACAUUGUCCUGCUCCUGGACGAGCAUGUGCCCGUACUCUAGCAGCUUCUCGACUGUCAUCUUUGGCUGCUCAAAGGUCACUGGUCCGUCCCGCGAGUUCACAAGCUUCUUGCCAAUGUUCUCGAUACCGGUAGAGGUCACCCACUUGCGCACCUCGUCGUCGUACACCCGAGCACGCAGAGCACCGAAAAAGUCUGUGUAGGAUUGACCAUCCUUUGUUAAUACUAUACAACUUGAUUGCCCUGAUGAAUAUAUAUUAUCUCUGCGGUGCAGUUGUGAGGAACAUACCGAUGGAUUGUCCUGGGAAGGUGUCGACGAUCUUGACGACGGACUCGUCGCUGACAUUGUCGGUCUGGAAGAUACCCUUGCAGACACCGAUACGGUCGUCGCGGGUGGGAGCCCAGUAGAACUUCUCCAUACGACCAUCACGGAUGAGAGGGGCGUACAACGUUGAGAAAUCGUUACCAGUGACGACGAUGGGCACACGAGGGUUCUCCUCCUUGUUGUACAUGCCUGGGAGCUGCACGUUGGUGGGGGCAUCGGCGAUGUUCAUGAGGGUGGCGUUCACCAUCUGGUUGUUGACGGUGUACUGUGUGGUCCCGCCCAUCCGACCCGCACCGGCGUCAAGAUCGUUGAUGAAGAGGCAGCACAUCUUACCCUUCUUGAUCAUGUCUGCAGCCUCACGGUACCGCUGCCUGAUGAGCUUGGCUGGCUCUCCGGCGUUGCCACUCUCCAGCUCUCCGGCACUCAUCAUGAUUGGGCUGUGGUGAAAAGCACACGUCAUUAUCUAUUACUAGCACUGUGGCUUGAUGCAUCUAUGACUGUGUGACAGUAUGUAUAAUAGAUGAAUGUGAAUUCCUACUUGAUGCCCAUCUUGGCGAAGACAAGCUCACACUGGAAGGAUUUUCCUUGACCCUUGCCUCCCCAGAUACCCAAGAUGAGUGGGAUCUGAAUUUCGAUUCAAGGUCAGUUCCAGAAUCAGAAUGAUUUUCUUGCUGCUAAUCAAUAGUCAUGAUGCAUACCUUGAUGUUGGGCAGGGUCAUGAAGUUCUUGGAGAGAUGGACAACAAGCUUGUCCAUGAAAGCAGGAGCGAUGUAGAAGCCUCCCAUGGUGUUGUCGAAGUCGUACUUCUUGAGUCCCUGGCUGACGUACUCGUAGGAGCUGAGGACGGCCUCGUGGGUGCCGUCGCCCGUGGGCGCCUGGAAGAGGGAGUCCACGAUGCCCUUCCCUCUGGUGAUGUCCUGCUGGUCGUCGGAGAUAUCGUAGGCAAGACCCUUCCACUUGUCUGUGUUCCUCUUCUCGUCGAUGUUUUCCGCUGCCAUGACUGUGAACCUGUUGGCCUUGGAGCUCUUGCCAUGGUAGUUCACGGCCGAGGUCACCUGCUUCUUGAGCUUCUUCCCGAGGAAGUUGGUCGGCGUAGAAGCCUGUAUACAUUACACACACACACACAUGAGACGCCGUUGAAGACAUUGAUACGAUAUCAUCACUAAACAAGAGAUGCAAUCAAUCAAUUGAUCGAUCGAUCAGUGUGUCAUACGCACCGGGGCACCGACGGUGGAGGAGAAGGCAGCAGCCAUCUCGGUGCUGCUUGGUCGACCUUGCUAGCAACGGUGGAUGCGCGGCUGUGCUGGUGAUCAGCGAUGAAUGACCGCUGCUGCUCAAAGUAUAGAGGCCCAGCUAUGAGAUGCCUUAAAUACACAUGGAUUGGCAUAUUGCUGCGGUGGGGAGCUUGGAGGAGGAGGCGGCAUACACACACCCCUGCUUGUGGAUCAGCUUCCCGAUCCCGCACAGGCCACACGCUGGAGAUUGGGUUCUGAGCCUCUUGGCCGGCCGGUUGGAUGACUUGGACCGUCAAGACCAAACGCUGCAGCUGCAGCUGCAGGUACGUCUGCUGGCCAUCAAUUCCAUGGCCUUCCACGGCCACAGAAUCUAACCAUUCAUGCUCAAAUCAUCUCCAUUUUCUUCCGUGCCUUUCGUUUUUCCUUUCACCGGAUCGUCUUGUUUAUUAGCCAAGCUAUGUCGUUGCAUAACCACAAAAAAGGGUCUCUCCUUGCUUGUUGGAUGAGGCACCCAAGAUUGUAUUCUAGUUCAAGUACCACAAAUUUGUUGCUGCCAUACAUAUACUGGUUUGUUGAUAACCAUCAAGCUAGGGAUGUCAUUUGGCACCACACAAAUAAGUCCUGGUUGACAUCAAGCACAUGGGUAUGUACUUUUGUGUACUCCAAUAAUAUUGCCACUUCGGUAAAAAAAAUGAAACGUAUUAAGAGAAAAGCAAGUCAUGCAGUGUUUUUUUAUUUGAAGGGAAAAUGAUAGCGUGUGUAUAUGUCACGUCUGUAAUGUUUUCAUGUAAAUGUUAUUGGUGCUGCUUAGCUCAAGUUUCCUGGAAUUAUCAUUGUCUUGGUCUACUACAGACCAUUGAUCCUUUUGAAGAAUGCUAGCCGUGUUUGCCUUGCACAAUCUUUCUCCAAUACGCGCUCUAGUGAUGUUGUCCUUGUUAAUCAGUUUCCAAAUCCGUCAAGAGGAAAAUAUACAUGUCACUAGUCAUGACCCCCACAUCCACAGUACCUAAUCAAGAAUUUUCAGAGGAUUUCCAGCUAUCUGCUAAUCUUCCAACAAGUGCUAAUAUGAGAUAGGUUGUUGGGACCCUAGCUUGCAUCCAUUAUUAGAGUGAUUAAGCGGAAAAUGACGAUUCAGGUAUAUAUAGGCAAUACGAAAACAUAUACAAUUGGAUUCUCUUUCAAGAAGAGACUUACAAUUGGGCUACCUGUGCGGCGAUGAAUCAAAAAGUUUGAGUGGAUUCGAGUCCAAAAUAUUCCAGCAUAUAUAUAGUGCAUGCAUGCACGCAUGCAUCUUAAGUAUAGGACUUUCUACUUGCCGUAGAAGGCGCCGGUCGCCAUGGCGUCGUCGUUGGCUUGGCCGAGCGCCGCCUCGCUGAGGUACUUGUCGGCGAGCUGCACGCGCUUCACGUUCUCCUGCUCCUGGACCAGCAUGUGGCCGUACUCCAUGAGCUUCUCGAUGGUCAUCUUGGGCUGGUCGAACGUCGGCGGCCCCUCCCUGGAGUUGACGAGCCGCUUGGAGAUGUUCUCGACGCCGAUCUCGCCGACCCACUUGCGCACCUCGUCGUCGUACACCCGCGCCCGCAGCGCGCCGAAGAAGUCGAUGGACUGCCCCGGGAAGGUGUCCACCAGCCUCACCACGGCCUCGUCGGGGACGUUGUCGGUGCGGAAGAUGCCCUUGCACACGCCGAUGCGGUCCUCCCGGGUGGGCGCCCAGUAGAACUUCUCCAUGCGGCCGUCCCGGAUGAGGGGCGCGUACAGCGUCGAGAAGUCGUUGCCGGUGACGAUGAUGGGCACGCGUGGGUUCUCCUCCUUGUUGUACAUCCCCGGGAGCUGCACGUUGGUGGGCGCGUCCGCGAUGUUCAUCAGGGUGGCGUUCACCAUCUGGUUGUUCACCGUGUACUGCGUCGUCCCGCCCAUCCGCCCCGCGCCGGCGUCCAGGUCGUUGAUGAAGAGGCAGCACAUCUUGCCCUUCUUGAUAAUGUCGGCAGCCUCGCGGUACCUCUGCCGGAUCAGCUUGGCCGGCUCGCCGGCGUUGCCGCUCUCCAGCUCUCCGGCGCUCAUCAUGAUGGGGUUGAUGCCCAUCUUGGCGAACACCAGCUCGCACUGGAACGACUUGCCCUGUCCCUUGCCUCCCCAGAUACCCAGGAUGAGAGGGACCUUGAUGUUGGGGAGUGUCAUGAAGUUCUUGGCGAGGUGGACGAUGAGCUUGUCCAUGAACGCCGGGGCGAUGUACAGCCCGUCCAUGGUGUUGUCGAAGUCGUACUUGCGCAGGCCCUGGCUGAUGUACUCGUAGGAGCUCAGGAUGGCCUCGUGGGUGCCGUCGCCCAUGGGGGCCUGGAACAGGGAGUCCACGAUGCCUUUCCCCCUCGUGAUGUCCUGCUGGUCAUCGGAGAUGUCGUAAGCGAGACCCUUCCACCGAUCGGCAUCGGUCUGCUUGCCCUCGUCAAGUUCCUUUUUGGCCGCCAUGGCCCUGACCACCCUAUUGUUGAUCUUGUUGCCACCAUGGUAGUAGUUCAACGCACCGGCCUGCUUCUUCACCUUCUUCCCGAGGAAGGUGGUCGGGGUCGACGCCUGGAAGUAUAACAUUGCAGUCAGCCCCAACCAGAUUCAUGUACGUUGGCUCAUUUGGUUCAAUAGCAGUUGCCACGAUGCACGCUUGAGUUGAAUAUAUGCUUCAUUAAUUUGUAGAUAAGGGCCUCUCUGAUUCAGAGGAUUCCCAAAGAAAUUUUGGAGGAUUCUAAUCCUUAGGCUAUUUUUUUCAAUGUGGGUUGUUUGAUUUGUAGGAUUCCAAUUCACGUGAUUUUUUUUUCUUAUGAUUCAUCUGUACUAGUUUUUCGUAGGAAAAUAUUCAUCCACUCCAACCUAAUGUGAAAAAAUUUACGUUUUUCUUGUACACAAUCAAACAACCAUAUUAUUCAAAAGUUUCAAAGAUGGUGUGCCAUUCUGUUCCUAUGUUUUUCAUAUUCCAACGAUUUAGGAAUACUAUGAAUCAAAGAUGUCGUAAGUUUUCUAGGAAGUGUAUCAACCGUUGAUUUGGGCAUUUUCAGUCUUCAGUCACUAUUUAAUUGCAUGUCAUAUAAAAUUAAUUAGUCCAUCCAAAAGCUCGAGCCUAUGAAGAGAGGCAGAAGGUUGAAAGUAUAUUUCAACGCUCCAACUCAUACCAGGAGGGGUGGGCCCGUGUUGAGGGGAGUGGGGGCCCAAGAUCGCAUUCAAAAUAUGAAAUUUCAAUAUGAUUUGUAUAACUUCUAGGGGAAAAUGCUAAAACUCAAUGAAUUUAGACAAAAAUGUAUCACCACUCUUAUGUUUGGCCCGUAGUCAAAAUAGUUUCUCGGUCUGCCUCUGCAUACUGGGCCUUGAAAUUGAUGUCUCAUGGCUUGAAUAACAUAUUGGAUUACAUAACAACUUAACCAGCUCAGCCAAAAGUUCUUGCUGAUGGAGAAUAAUGAAAAAUAGUCAGUUUUUUAAAUUGUUGUAUCUAGAUUCAAUCUUUCUUCCCUCUCCCUCCCUCCUUCAUAUCGACCAUUCACUUUUCUUUUAAAGAUUAUUAGAUCUAGAUCUAGUUUUCUCCUCACUCGGUCCCCUUCUUGAAGGCAGGAGACAAAGAAGAACCGGUUGAGAAUCUAUAUGUCACUCAAAAUUCUCACAAACAGGCUAGACAACCGUGUGCCUUCACUCGAGACUUUUUUUAGGUCCUACCUUUGUUCUCCUCCUCCCCGCAAUACCAUCUAAAGAGUGUAACCACUAACAUCGCACAUUUCUCAACCCUCACCCCGCACUAUUUAUAGUUUGCGUCGUGAUUCAACAAACCACACAAUAGUUGCUCCUUAAGAAAAUCUCGCUACCAACUCGCAACUCCUAUUCUUUUUCAUCCACGCCACCAAGAAUCAGCAGCUAGUGCUGCCUACAUUAUCUUUGCCGUGCUAGCUCAACAUUUAUGGUCAUGCCCAAACCGAGCACAAAUGACCUCAUUUGAUAGCCUCGCCCCACGACGGCCGACCAUUCACCCCACCACCCUAGUCUCGAUAAGCCCCGGAAGGCAUGGGUGAGGAAAAGAUGACCUUGUCCGAGUCAACACAUAGAGGAGGCCCUGCUUGUCGCGUCCAAAUCUCAAAGCAAGAUCACACGGUCACAAAUUAUAUUGUAAUUGUACAAAAUGAAACAAUCCAAAGCUGAAAAUAUGUAGCAAGUCAGCCAUAUUUAGAGGAGGCGAUGAGUAUUGUUUUAGUAACUUAGCGAGUAGACGUACAUACGUUCUGUCCACUGGAUUAAGGAUCAGCUGCCAUGAGUGUAGGUCUAGUCAUACGUACCGGAGCUCCAACGGUGGACGAGAAAGCAGAAGCCAUCGUGUCGAUUGUUCUCUCCCCGCACCUGAUAACUUAAUUAGUUUCAGAUUAAUUUGAUGUGCGUACAGUGGUAUAUGCAAGCUCAGCUUAGGCGUACUACUAGUACACCUGCAGAUGCAGCUCGACUGAGAUGGUCAGUGAUCGACCGAGCUGAUGUGGAUAAAAGAGAGGGUGCGCUGGCUAGCAAGUACAGAUGCGAUGCCGAUCGGUGCAGCUUGGCUAUGGCGGCUUAUAUAGGUGCACGCACAGACGGCCAUGGUGCAAACGUCCAACACGACUGGAGUGACCUACAGCGUGCGCGACUAUUCUAGAGCGUCCCUGCGUAAUCACGCAGUCAGGCGAGAUAAGCUGUGAUUGUUAGGCUCUAAUUGGCUUUGCUUAGCGCGAUGGCUGCGAUAAGUAGUGAGGCGAGCCAAGUGGAGUGGAUGAUGAGAUGUUAAUUGUGUGGAUGGGGCUGGGCAUCGCCCAGGAGCCACACGCUGAGGAUUGGCUUCCUGGCUACCCUGGCUCAGUCCAUCAAAGGCGUCGACGUGGCUGCUUGUCAGCCUCCUGAUCGGCGCAUCCAACGGCCUAAAAGAAAUCUAAGCUGCCUGCCUUCGGUUCCUUGUGGGUUACGGGCCCGGAGCAUCUUUUUGCGGGUAUGCAUGCAUUAUUAAAUCAGCGUGCGCCGCCGUAGAAACAAUGAUGCCUUCAUCCUUCACCAUAAAAAUCACAUCUUGUUCGUUCCAUUUUCUUUUUGCAUUUUGCAUGAAACGUCUAGACUGGCUUUACACCACCACAAAGUACUAAUCUCAUUCCCUCCGGUAGGGCCCGGGUUACUGUCAGGAAACUUCAUGAACUAGCUUUUUUGUUUUGUAUCUACUAGGUUGCACAUCACCACAGGAUCUAAAAUUUCCAUCUUAUCUAAAAAGCCUCUAUGGUUAUUUUUCAUUUCCUUGCUUAUUUAUUUGGACACCUGUGAAAUUAAUUUUAUAGAUACAACUGAAUCGCAUUCUAUUUUUUGAGUGUACAACUUAAGGGCGUGUACAAUGAUGCUAUCUCAAGAGUCCCGUAUAAAAUAAAUGUUGAGGUAGACGAGAGAGAAAUCAUUCCAUGCUAUGAUUAGAUUUAUCUUAAUUCUUCUUUCUUAAUUGCGGAUGCUUGCGAGAGGGGAUAAUCAUAAGUGGGAGGCUUGCUUACGUAAGAACAGCACCGAAGCACCGAUCCACCCACAUAUUAAAUUAUCAAAGUAACAAACGUGAAUCAAACAAACAUGAUGAAAGUAACUAGAUGAUAAUUCUCAUGUGUCCUCGAGAACACUUUGCUUUUCAUAAGACAUCGUUCCGGCUUGUCCUUUGCUAUAAAAAGGAUUGGGUUACCUUGCUGCACAUUUCCUACUAUUGUUACUUGUUAUCCGUUAUGAAUUACCUUGCUACAAAAUAAUCUAUUACCGAUAGGUUCGACACUCUUACUUAUCGAAAUGACUGUGAUUGAUUCCUUAUACUAAUUGUGGGUCAUCAGGAACACUUUUAGAUUUGAUCGAUGUGAAUAGAUUCGUAAUUACGUAUUACGUGGUAAUUUGGAAUAUGACGGGAAACAAGCUCAUAAUGUAUUGAUGGUUUUUGGUUCGAAGCCCAAAAUGGUUCCCAGAUGUGUACGUGUAUGCCCACUAUCACACACAGUCCAAAUAUCGUCAUCGUGUCCGAUGGAUGGGCUGUCGUGCCUCCCAUGGGUGCCAAACGGUUGACUAGAACCGCUAUAUGCAGGUGGUUGCUCGCCGUUGAGGCAGCUGCGGCGUGCUCUGCUCAUGCCCCCCUCCCCUGAGCGCUCUGAUCGCCGUUGAGGCGGCUGAUACAUCUCCAACGUAUCUAUAAUUUUUGAUUGUUUCAUGCUAUCAUAGUAUCAAUCUUGGAUAUUUUAUAUAACUUUUUGAACUAUUUUGUAUCAUUUUUUAGGACUAACCUAUUAACCCAGUGCCUAGUGCCAGUUGUUGUUUUCUGCUUGUUUUUGGUUUUCCAGGAAAACGUACCAAAUGGAGUCCAAACGCUACAAAUUUUUUGAUAAUUUUUUUCUAGACAAGAGAGACUGAGGGAGUCCUGGAUUAGGGGGUGUUCGGGUAGCCGGACUGUACCUUCAGCCGGACUCCUGGACUAUGAAGAUACAAGAUUGAAGACUUCGUCUCGUGUUCGGAUGGGACUUUCCUUGGCGUGGAAGGCAAGCUUGGCGAUGCGGAUAUUCAAGAUCUCCUACCAUUGUAACCAACUCUAUGUAACCCUAACCCUAUCCGGUGUCUAUAUAAACCAGAGGGUUGUAGUCCGUAGGCAAUCAACUCCAUACACAACAAUCAUACCAUAGGCUAGCUUCUAGGGUUUAGCCUCCUUGAUCUCGUGGUAGAUCUACUCUUGUGCUACCCAUAUCAUCAAUAUUAAUCAAGCAGGAGUAGGGUAUUACCUCCAUCGAGAGGGCCCGAACCUGGGUAAAACAAAGUGUUCCCUGCUUCCUGUUACCAUCCGGUCUAGACGCACAGUUCGGGACCCCCUACCCGAGAUCCGCCGGUUUUGACACCGACAUUGGUGCUUUCAUUGAGAGUUCCUUUGUGCCGUCACAAUCAGGAAGGAUGCUUCCUCCCGUCUUUAAAGACGGCGCCGUUGCUAAGGGAGCCUUGGCUGUCGGCCAAACCCUCUGACUAGGUGGUUUUCUCAUGACCGCCUGUUCGGCUGUUGCGCCGACGAUGACCUCUCGGGUCAUCAAAAGCAGCCCACACGUCAGCUCGGAGCUCGUCGAGCAAGUAGAUCCAAUGGAGCUCUCUUCCGUAAACGAGCUCUUGGAUCGCAUCGCCGCCCUGGGGGUCGCUACGGAUUACGACCAGGUUGGGCUUAAACCCGAUCUAAGAGAAACUAACUCUCCCCAAGUCACCCACCACGUUGCCGUGGUAGAGGCGCAGUGUGGCGACCCUUCAUCUAUUUUGAGGACUAGCUACGUCCGAAUUCCCGACUCCUCCAAGCCGGAUACCGGCGAAGAGGAGGAUGUAACUCAAGACCUGAGCUUAGGAUCAGGCAACGGGCUAGAUUCGUUGGACAACGUCUAAGAACCCGAACUUCAGAGUUCGGAAACUCUUCGGCCUCCGAAUCUUGGAUUGGGUGAGGCUUCAGAUUCAACGACACCCGCCCACCCAAACGUAAGCGCUCUCUCCCAAAUCAGGCAGAGGCCCGAGGAAACAGUACAUCAUUACUGGGCCAGAUUCCUCCUGGUUAUGAACAGGAUAAAAGAUUGCCGCAAGGGAGACGCAAUCUCUAUUUUUUGCAGUAAUUGCACGGAUGAGGGAAUACUUAACGCCGUAAGUCAUCGUGAUAUUACACGCUUCGCUGACUUGGCGUCCAUAGUACAAAAAUACUGUGCGAUGGAAAGCGCCUGGAAAACCGAAAUAAAAUUUUGGGACAAUCCGGCCUUGAAUAGUAAUCCCGUCCGAACUAAGAGGGUGCAUCAUCAUACGACACCCGGGAUAAACACCAAAAAGCCAAAACCCUCUACAGGGCGUGGAACCGUACUGGAAAGGUGGCUUGAUGGACCCUGUAGAAUUCACAGUACAGAGGACGCCACACCAACUCACAGCCUUAGAGCAUGUUGGAUACUCCGGCAGGUGGCCAAAAUCGGCGAGAACCUCUUAAUCCUGGAGGCCGCAGAAAGGCAGCCCGAGGACACUAGUACCGUUCUCACAAUCUUCGAGACUUUCGCAUCAAACAAUAUGCGAAAAAGAACACUCCGCAGCCUCGCCGAAGUCUAUCAAGUUGCAACAAUAAAUCCAUGGAGCGACACUGCCAUUACCUUCAACGUAAGUGAUGAACCUAGAUUCCGAACAGCCCGAGCACCAGCCGCAUUGGUCCUCAGUCCCAUAGUUGACGACUUUUGCCUCACCAAGGUGCUCAUGGAUGGAGGCAGCGGACUGAACCUCAUUUAUGAGGAAACCCUUCAAAAAAAUGGAAAUAGACUGGAACCGCAUCGAGCGAAGCAGCACAACCUUUAGAGGAAUAAUCCCCAGUCGGGAAGCACGCUGCACAGGAAAAAUCACACUAGAUGUGGUGUUCGGCAUGCCGGAUAAUUACAGGUCCGAAGAAGUCACGUUUCAGGUGGCCCCGUUUAAGAGCGGACAUCACGCUUUACUAGGUCGGGAAGCAUUCACAAUCUUCCAAGCAAUACCCCAUUACGGGUACAUGAAGCUUAAGAUGCCCGGGCCGAAUGGAAUUAUCACUCUAGCCAGUGAUCCGGACAUAGCACUCCGCGCCGAAAACAAGACGGCCGCAUUAGCCCUUGAGGCACUAUCCGAAGCCUUAGCGGCCGAGGAACUGACUGCGCUGCGCUCCAUGGUUAACAGGGAUGAUGUGAUACUCGACAAGAGAUCCAAAUCCACAUCCUUCAAGCCAGCUGACGAAAUAGUCAAAUUCCAGGUCCAUCCAACGGACCCCAAUAAAACAGCUUCCAUCGGGGCACGACUGAACCUUGAUGUAGACGCUGCACUGCGAGAGUUCCUACGAGAGAACUGGGACAUUUUUGCCCGGCACCCUUCAGACAUGCCAGGAAUCCCACGCAGGCUGGCGGAACACAGCUUAAAUAUCCUAAAAGGAUUCAAACCUGUCAAACAAGCCCUUCGGCGUUUUUCCGAACCCAAGAGACAGGCUAUGGGAGAGGAGCUAGCCAAGCUAUUGGAGGCCGGAUUCAUUAGAGACAUAAAACAUCCGGACUGGCUAGCAAACCUGGUGAUGGUACCAAAGAAGGACAAAUCCUGGCGCCUGUGUGUCGAUUUUAAAGACCUUAACACGGCUUGCCCAAAGGAUCCCUUCCCCCUCCCCCGUAUCGAUCAAAUUAUCGAUGCCACCGCAGGACACGGUUCGUUGUGUUUUCUUGACGCAUACUCCGGUUACCAUCAAAUUAAGAUGGCAGAAUCAGACCAAGCUGCAACAGCAUUCAUCACACCAUACGGCCCAUUCUGCUUCAACACAAUGCCCUUCGGGCUGAAAAACGCCGGCGCAACAUAUCAGCGCAUGAUCCAGACAUGUCUGGCAAACCAGAUCGCCAAAACAGUGGAGGCGUAUGUGGAUGAUGUGGUCGUCAAAUCAAGACAUGUCGAAUCCCUAUUAAACGACUUGAGGCUUACAUUCGAUAACCUCCGACAAUAUGACAUCAAGCUCAAUCCAGAAAAAUGCGUCUUCGGCGUUCCAGCCGGAAAGCUCUUGGGCUUCAUUGUAUCCGGUAGAGGAAUUGAAGCAAACCCAGCCAAGAUCCGAGCUUUGUCACAAUUGGAUGUCCCAAAGGACCUCAAACAAAUACAAAAAUUAACCAGAUGCGUGGCGGCUUUAAGCCGCUUCAUCUCCCGCUUGGGAGAAAAGGCACUACCCCUCUAUCGCCUCCUUCGGCGCACCGAACACUUCGAGUGGACGGAGGCCGCCAUGGCCGGACUUGAUGAAAUAAAAGCCAUAUUGGCAACAAACCCAGUCCUGGCCGCGCCGAACACCAGCGAACCAAUGUUAUUAUACAUUGCAGCAACACAUCAAGUUGUCAGCGCAGUGCUCGUUGUCGAGCGGGAAAUAGAUGCACAUGAAUUCCCCCUUCAAAGGCCGGUCUACUACGUAUCCAUUGUCCUCACUCCAUGCAAAUCACGGUACCCGCAUUAUCAAAAGAUUGCAUACGCGGUAUUCAUGGCAUCCCAAAAGCUACGACACUACUUUCAAGAGUGUUCCAUAAUAGUAGCCUCAGAAGUACCACUCAAUGAUAUUAUUAACAACCGCGACGCAACGGGCCGGAUUGCAAAAUGGGCCAUCGAGCUUCUCCCGUUUGAUAUAACCUAUAAGCCACGGCGAGCUAUUAAAUCUCAAGCUUUGGCCGACUUCGUCGCAGAAUGGACGGAGGUCGAGCUCCCUAAAGAGCACGGCACAUAUUCAAACUGGAUUAUGCAUUUCGACGACUCCAAAAUGUUGACCGGACUAGGGGCUGGCAUCGUCCUGAUGUCCCCCACAGGAGACACAGUCCAAUAUGUGCUCUAGAUUAUGUACACGGAUUCCAACAAUGCAGCCGAAUAUGAGGCCCUCCUACAUGGUCUCCGGAUAGCAGUAUCCAUGGGUAUCCAGCGCCUAGAGGUACGCGGGGAUUCAAACCUCACGAUAUCCCAAAUAAAUGGAGACUUCGACACCAAGGACCCAAAAAUGGCAGCUUACCGCAACGCCGUCCUAAAAAUGUCAGCUCGAUUCGAAGGGCUGGAGUUUCACCAUAUAGCCCGAGAAAACAAUCAAGCAGCGGACGUCCUGGCACGCAUUGGAGCAAAACGCGAUGCAGUCCCCCCCAACAUAUUUUUGGAAAGAUUGUUCAGGCCAUCCGUAGCAUGGGAGGGUGAACCCGCAAAUAACAGCCCGGACCCAGCCGCACCACUCGACGCCGAACAAUCUGACACAAUUGGAGGCUCUGCCAACAAAAUUACACCUUCAGCCCACGUAAUAAUGGCGGUUAUCGCCCCGUGGACAGAACCAUUCCUAGCCUACCUUACUAGACAGGAACUCCCGGAGGACCAAAACGAGGCCCGCUGCAUAGUGCGGCGAUCUAAAGCCUAUAGAGUCCAUGAGGGAGAGCUUUAUAAGAAAAGCACUACCGGAGUCCUUCAAAGGUGCAUCUCCGAAGAGGAAGGGCGGAACCUUCUGGCUGAAAUUCAUGCCGAAUUCGGUGGUCACCACGCCGCUGCUCGGUCCCUUGUUAGCAAGGCUUUCCGUACAGGCUUUUAUUGGCCGACGGCCCGGGCAGACGCUCAGGACCUAGUCCAACGAUGCGCUAGUUGCCAACUUUUUGCCAACCAAAGCCAUAUGCCACCCACCGCACUCCAAACUAUACCCAUCACCUGGCCUUUUGCGGUCUGGGGGCUUGACAUGGUCGGACCCCUUAAAGGUGGGACCGAUAAAAAAAAUACUUACUGGUCAUGGUGGAUAAAUUCACCAAAUGGAUAGAAGCCAAACCUGUUAAAACGGCCGAAUCCGGACCUGUGAUAGACUUCUUAUCUGGGGUUGUACACCGUUAUGGCGCCCCCACAGCAUCAUAACUGAUAACGGUACAAACUUCACCGCCGACGAGGUAAAACUCUGGUGCAAAAACAUGGGCAUCAAGCUCGAUUAUGCUUCCGUCUAUCACCCACAAACCAACGGCCAGGUCGAAUGUGCAAAUGGUCUUAUCAUGAGCGGCAUUAAACCCAGACUGGUGCGGUCCCUCAAGGAAUCUAACACGCACUGGGUAGAGGAGCUCGAUUCCGUGCUAUGGGGGCUGCGGACCACGCCAAAUCGCACCACCGGAUACACACCAUUUUUUAUGGUGUACGGUGCAGAGGCAGUUCUGCCCUGCGACAUAAUUCAUGACUCACCUAGAGUGCGCAUGUAUGAAGAAAGAGAAGCCGGGCUCGAUCGGCAGGAACAACUUGGACGCCCUGGAGGAGGAGCGUGACGUGGCAAAAGCCCGUUCCGCAUUUUAUCAACAGCAGGCCCGAAGAUAUCAAAGUAGAGAAGUAUGGGCCAAAAAUUACAAUGUUGGCAAACUAGUUCUACGCCUGCCGGAUAAGAAAAAGGACAAACUCAAGCCCAAGUGGGAAGGUCCAUUCAUAAUCGACCAAGUCCUGACUGGCGGGGCGUACCGCCUGCGAGAUGCGUCGGAUAACCGACUCGAGCCGAACCCGUGGAACGCCACCCGUCUCCGAAGAUUCUAUGCCUAGCGCCGGACUCUGUGUUCGUCUCCUUCCUCUGCCCAUUUUUUGCAUUUUUCUGUCUUACAUUUCUCUCCUUCCCCUCUUUUCUUUUAUAGCCCUUAAAGGCUCAUCUAGUGACGCGCCACUCACGCUCAUUAAACCUGGGGGCUUCUUUAAUAGAAGCUUAUUUAUACGGGCUUCACGCCCAACACAUGCGUCAAACUUCCGCAUGUACCUUUUUCUUCACCAUUAUAUGCUUCGAUAUGACUUAAGUUUUGGCCAAGCUGGGUUGCCUGGCUCCUGUGCUUACCCCUACAUUCCCGAUUGUUCGGCUAGGCGGUAAAGGGAGCACCUCUGCGAUUGUUACUGCCGGGUCAGCCGGAUGUGUACCUCAGACUGGGUGAAGCCGAAAGCUAGCGUUCUUAAGGGAAUUUUCGGUCGGUGAGAUAAAAGAUGAUCUUUUUACUCAUUUUAUGCGCCCCCAGAUGCUUUUUCUGCAUCUUUUUACGCAGUCCGGACAUGCACUUUAGGGCAUGCCUCCCAGCGAAAGGAACCCCUAACGGAACUAUUCUCUCUGGAAGAUGUUUCUUACUAACCAUGUAAUAUAACAUAACUAGUUGGGCACUUGUCUGAUAAAGCACUAAUGACCCCUACGCCUGGUCUCCACGCAUACCACGGUUCUUAUAUAACCGCUAUGGUAUUCGGACACACUCCGGAUCGUCAGGUCCCGAGGUUGAAGCGAAAAGGUCGGCAACGACAAACGAUCUACAAUCCGGCUAGAAGGCAUUACACAUGUCAAUUCAAAAUUACAUAGUCAUUCUGACUGAUUGUAUUCCUCUUCUAUACCAUCUAACAGGCUGUCUAAUUUACAGUCCUGCUGGGAAUACUUCGCGGCUAACUCUACUUGGCCGUAUACUAAGCUUACAGGGAUCUCCUUCCCGUCAGGCCCCACUGGUCCGACCACGGCCAUGUGGUUUGGGUCAGACUUCGUAAAACGGGUCUUCACCAUGGCCCGGACCUCCCUAGCGCCUUGUCGGCAGGCUGAUAUCUUCCACAACCGGAAGCGCCGCCGAGCUCCCUUCAGCUUCUCCGCAAGCUCUCCAGGGCCCUCGGGCAUGGAGUGGGCAGGCCAUAAGGCUUGGGCAACACCUCGCAUCGCCUGCCGAAUUCGCUCGUGCAGUUGCAUGAGUUCGGGAAGAAGGUCACCCGUAGAACCGGGCAUCUCCUCUGCAGGACGACCUGUGAGCAUACCUACAGACAUUACUCUGUUAGUCGACUUCCUCGCCGAACUCUUUUUUCAAAGUUCGUUCAAGCACUUACUAAAAAUGCCGCGUCGAAGCCGCUGAUUCUCCUUCGUGGAGUCCGACAGCUGGCCACGAACAUCUUUAAGUUCGACGUCCAGCUUGGUAUUGGCAUCCUGAAGAUCAUUCUUCUCUCGCCUCACCUUUGUCAACAUACUCUCACUGGACUUUAGCCGGCGUAAGAGUUGUUGCUUGUCCGGAUCUAAUCCGGCGCCAUCUGCAAUAUGAUUUGUCAGAUUUGCACCCACACCACACAGUACUAAUCUUUCAAAGUGUAUCUUACCUGAGGGGGUCUCUUUGGGCUCCCCUGCUGCGGCUAGUGCGGCCUCUAGUUGGGCCUUACACUUUUCCAGCUCCUGGGACAGUACGGUAUUCUUCUCUGUAAGAAGCUGCAUAUUAAAUGAUCCUUAAAUCAGUUGCUCUAACUGUUUCAUGUCUCGGGGGCUACUGGUAUAUAUAUAUUUGACCAAAAUUUUCUUACUCGUAUGUCUUUUACAUACUGCUCCGUGGCUCUGGCUAAACCAUUUUGAGCGGCAUGGAGGUACGAAUCUCCUGAAUUAAAGGCAUCUAAAGCCUCUUGGGAGAAACAAGCGUCACGUAGAACUGUCCGGCGACGCCUGUUGUUCAUGGCACUCUCCACUUCAGAAUUUGUGGUAGAUAGCCUGUCCGCAACCUCUGUCGGAGGAGCGUCCGGUGCGCGCCUUGUGCUCGCCUCCGCUUCCUGGCCAGACGUUGGAGCUUGGCUAGUGGAGGCGCGAUUGGCAACCUCUCCGGAUGUAGUCCGGCAAGGCCUCUUCGUUCUGAAGAUAGCACGAAUGUUAAUAUGCCCUGACAAAAUAACACCAGGGAAACAGAGGGUGCGCUAUACCUUUGCGCCGGCAUCUCAGUCCGGACUACAUUCCUUUUUUCCCCACGGGGCCCUGCGGCCCCUCGUUGACUAGCCGCCGCAGGUUCGGCCUCCUGCCUCAGAAAUCUCCCCUGCAAAACACGGUUGUCAUCAGAAACACCGGAAUACGUGAGAGUGGAAUCUCUCUCAAGGGAAUGAGACUUCGGUUUCUGUCACCUGGGAGGCCGGGAUUAACCCUGGGUAAUCAGCCGUAAUGGCUACCAAGGUGUUGUCCUUGCUUAGCUGAUGGAACACCCCGUCGAUAAGCUCCACCGAUAUGUCCGGAUCCUCUUCGGAGUCCGGAUCGAGGGACCGUUCUGGGUCCUCGGGUUGUGGAGGGCGGCUGUUUAUAUCCUUUACCACCUGUCGCAGUUCUUGCACUGAAGUCGUUAGACUACAUAUCUAACCGUGUGAGUACAAAACAAACGGGCAAGCACAGUUGUUCACUUACCCAACUUGGAGGAUCGUACAUAGUAAAUCCGGCCUGCGGGUUGACACGGAGGAAUUCCUCCUUUUCUCCAUUGUACAAAGAGGAUAAGAUCUUUACUAGGGCGGCAGCUGAAGCCGGCCCCUUACGACCGUAACGGGUGGCGUCAUCCUCCCCGUUGAAAUCCCACAUGGGGUGGCCUCUAUAUUGAAGUGGCUGCACCCCCCGCAUAAUGCAUGCGGCCAUUACUCCAAUCAUGGUUAGUCCGGAAUGAGCCAACAGUCUUAUCCGGCCCAUCAGGUAAAGGACGUCUCUGUCGCUUUCUCUCUGAGAGCUCCGUGGACGCCAACUCAAGCGUUUCUUCAAUGGAGCACUGUUGAACUCAGGGAGACCGACCCGGAUAGGGUCCGGUAGCGGGACGUCAUCUAUAUAAAACCAUUCCGAAGGCCAGUCCUCAGACGCCUUCUUCGGGGUUCCGGAUAGGUAUCCGGUCCCGGCGAUGCGCCAUACUUCAGCUCCGCCCACUUGGUAUAUAGACCCCUCUUUAGAACAGGGCACCAGGCAGAAUAAUCUCUUCCACAGCGUGAAAUGAGCCUCAACGCCUAGAAAUAGCUCGCAAAGGGCGACGAAACCCGCAAUAUGCAAUACGAAGGCGGGCGUGAGGUUGUGCAGCUGGAGGCCGUAGAACUCCAGAAGCCCGCGGAGAAAUGGGUGAAUUGGAAAUCCCAGUCCCCUUAUUAGAUAGGGGACGAGGCACAACCGCUCUCCUUUAGAAGGAUUGGGGGUGCUCUCCGCUUGUUUUCCGCCAUUAUAGGUGGCGAGACCGGCUCGGACCGGGACCAUGUAUGCCUGAGGGAGAAAUCCCUUGGCCUGAAGUGAUGCUAACUCGCUAUGCGGGAUGGUGCAACUCUCCCAGUCCCCGGGUUUGGGACCGGAGGGGCGAGGGGAGGAGCUACGAUGGCUGGUCAUGUUGGAAUGGACCUUUGCUGGAAGCGCUCUAAUGAUAACUCGCGGAAAGGAGAAGAUGUGGUUUUUGGACCUAAAUCCCCAUCCCGUUAAAUAGGCGACUCGUUUAUAUGGCUAGGGGUGUGGAUGUAAAAACACCCCAGCUUUUCGCAUUCAUUUGAACACGUGGAAGACGACCAUUAUUGGGCGUGGAAGCCGAGGAGCACUACAUUACAAAAAUCGGACAUUAUUCCUACAGGUACACAAGAUUUGGAGAGGAACCCGCCUUGCAAUGCCGAACAAUCUGCGCGCUGGACUCAUCGUCAUUGAAGCCUGGUUCGGGGGCUACUGAGGGAGUCCUGGAUUAGGGGGUGUUCAGGUAGCCGGACUGUACCUUCAGCCGGACUCCUGGACUAUGAAGAUACAAGAUUGAAGACUUCGUCCCGUGUCCGGAUGGGACUUUCCUUGGCGUGGAAGGCAAGCUUGGCGAUGGGGAUAUUCAAGAUCUCCUACCAUUGUAAUCGACUCUAUGUAACCCUAACCCUAUCCGGUGUCUAUAUAAACCGGAGGGUUGUAGUCCAUAGGCAAUCAACUCCAUACACAACAAUCAUACCAUAGGCUAGCUUCUAGGGUUUAGCCUCCUUGAUCUCGUGGUAGAUCUACUCUUGUACUACCCAUAUCAUCAAUAUUAAUCAAGAAGGAGUAGGGUAUUACCUCCAUCGAGAGGGCCCGAACCUGGGUAAAACAAAGUGUUCCCUGCUUCCUGUUACCAUCCGGCCUAGACGCACAGUUCGGGACCCCCUACCCGAGAUCCGCCGGUUUUGACACCGACAGAGACCAUAGAAGCUUCGGCAGGAGACCUGAUGGCGAGCAAGGAGACGACAAGGCAAUAGGGCGCGCCCUGAGGGGCCGUGUUUCCUUGUGGGCCCCUCGUGGCUCCGUCCGGCCUAAUUCCAACUCUAUAAAUUCUCUAAAAUCGGGAAACCAAUAGAGAGCCACCCAAAACAUUAUUUUUCCGCCGCCCGCAAGUUUCUGUUCUUCCGCGAUCCCAUAUGGAGGCCUUCUCCGGUACUCUGCUGGAGGGGGAACCAAUCACAGAUGGCUUCUACAUCAUCUUUGCUGCCUUUUGAUGAUGCGUGAGUAGUUCACUACAAACCUACGGGUCCAUAGCUAGCAGCUAGAUGGCGUCUUCUCCCUCUUUGAUCUUCAAUAUAACAAUGUUCUCCUCGAUGUUCUUGGAAUUCUAUCCGAUGUAAUCUUCUUUUGCGAUGUGUUUGUUGGUAUCCGAUUAAUUGUGGGUUUAUGAUCCGAAUAUUUAUUAUAAGUAAUUGAGUCUUUUCUGAACUUUAUUAUGCAUGAUUGUUAUAGCUUUGUAUUUCUCUCUGAUCUAUCCGUUUGGUUUGGCCUACUAGACUGAUUUAUCUUCGGUGGAAGAGAUGCUUUGUAAUGGGUUCAAUCUUGCGGUGCUCUAUAUCCCAGUGAUAGAAGGGGAUAAAAUAGGUAUUUAUAUUGUUGCCAUUAAGGGUAAAACGAGGGGGUUUAUUCAUAUUGAUUGGGUUUACUUUGUCUACAUCAUGUCAUCUUGCUUAAGGUGUUACUCCGUUUUCAUGAACUUAAUACCAUAGAUGCAUGCUAGAUCGCGGUCGAUUGGUGGAGUAAUAGUAGUAGAUGCAAGCAGGAGUCGGUCUACUUGUCUCAGACAUGAUGCCUAUAUACAUAAUCAUUGCCUUGAAUAUUGCCAUAACUAUGCGCUUUUCUAUCAAUUGCCCAACAGUAACUUGUUCACCCACGGUAUGCUAUGUGUUCGAGAGAAGCCUUUAGUGAAAACUAUGGCCCCGGGUAUACUUUUAUCAUACAUAUAAAAAACCAAAAUAUCCUUCCUGCAUUUUUGAUCUUUUAUUUUGUUUUGCAAUUUAUCUAUCUACUUAUACAAGAUUUGAUCCUUGCAAGUAAUGAGUUCAAGGGGAUUGACAACCCUCUUGCUCGCAUUGGGUACAAGUAUUUGCUUUUGUAUGUGCAGGUGUUGUUCACGAGGCUUUGCGUGAUUCUCCUACUGGAUUGAUACCUUGGUUCUCAUUGAGGAAAAUACUUAUCUCUACUGUGUUGCAUCUCCUCUCCUGUUGGGGGAAAAAUCCCAACGCAGCUCACAAGUCGCAGGAAGAAUUUCUAUCGCCGUUGCCGGGGAGACAUCACACCAAAACAUAUCAAGUACCUUCGCACAAACUAUCAUCUACUUGCUCUACUUUUUAUUUGCCUUUUUUUGCUUUUUCCUCUCGUUAAUCUCCCCACUUUUCAUAAAAAAGACAAAUAUUUUUGUUUGCUCGUUUGCUUGCUUUGUCGUUAUGUCGCAAUAAACCACUAAGUAGUGUGAUUUUUCAAAUACUAAUAAUAAUGAUUUUAUUAGUACUCCAAUUGCUCCUCCCUCCACUAGUGCGGAGUCAUCUAAUAUUAAUGCUGCUUUGCUAAAUCUUGUUAUGAAAGAAGAAUUUUCUGGUAGUCCUAAUGAAGAUGAUGCAUCCCAUCUUAAUAUACUCACUGAAUUAUGCAAUAUGCAAAAUAAAAAGAUGCGUAUAAUGAUAUUUUCAAGUUGAAAUUAUUUAUGUUUCACUACGAGGCAUUGCUAAAACUUGAUUUUCAUCCUUGCUUCGAAAUAGUAUUGAUUCUUGGGAUAAGUGUAAGGAUGCUUUUAUUGAUAAGCAUUUUCCUUCCGCCAAAAUUAUUUCUCUUAGAAAUCAAAUUUUGAAUUUUAAGCAACUUGAGAAUGAACAUGUUGCACAAUCUUGGGAGAGAACGAAAUUAAUGAUAAGAAAUUGUCCCACUCAUGGUUUAAGUUUGUGGAUGAUUAUACAAAAUUUCUAGGCGGGACUAAACUUUGUUUCUAGAAAUCUUAUAGACUCUGCUGCAAGUGGUACCUUUAUGGAAAUCACAUUGGGAGAAGCUACAAACUCCUUGAUAAUAUAUUGGCGAAUUACUCUCAUUGGGCACACGAAAGAGCUCCGACUGGUUAGAAGGUAAAUUUUGUUGUAGAAAUUACUACUUUGAGUGAUAAAAUGGAUGCUCUUAUGAAAAUGGUUGCUAAUAAAAAUGCUCAUGUUGAUCCUAAUGAUGUGCCAUUGUCUACUUUGAUUGAGCAAAAUAAUGAUGUCAUUUAUGUGAAUUUUGUCUCUAGAAAUAAUUUCAAUAACAGUGCUUAUAUAGGUAAUUUUAAUCCUAGACCGUAUCCCCGAAGUUCCUCUAAUAAUUAUGGUAAUUCCUAUGGAAAUUCUUGUAAUAAUAAUAAUAAUAAUAAUAAUAAUAAUAAUAAUAAUAAUAAUAAUAAUAAUAAUAACAAUAAUAAUAAUAAUAAUAAUAAUAGGAUACCUACUGAUCUUGAGAGCACUAUUAAAGAGUUCAUUAAUUCUCAAAAGAUUUUCAAUGCCAUGGUAGAAGAAAAAUUGAAUAAAGUAGAUGUAUGACUAGGAACAUAGAUAUAAUUGCUCUUGAUGUGGAAACUCUUAAAUCUAAAAUCUUACCACCCAAGCAUGAUAUUAAUGAGUCCAUUGAAGCUACCUAUCUCUCCAUUAAUGAAAAUAAAGAAAGAACCCCUAGGUUGAGAGCUAAGCGAGAAUUCUAGAAAAGGCUAUUUCACCCGAUUUUUACCGUAAUCAUGAUGAAGAUAUUAAAAUGAUCGGUGUCUCACCCAUUGAAUCUUUGUUUAGGAAUAUAAAACUUGAUGAAAAGGGACUGGAUAUGAGUUAACUUUAGCUAGAAGGCGUCCUAAUUGUUCGGAGGGUGAUGAUCUUAAUGAUAAACAUAGUAAAAGUGGGUUUGGAGAGGUCAAGACUUUAACUAGUAAUGUGCCCACUACUUUGGAUUACAAGGACUUUAAUUAUGAUAAUUGUUCUUUAAUUGAGUGAAUUUUCUUGUUGAAAUCCAUGAUAAAUUCACCCAAUGCUUAUGAACAAAAUAAAGCUUUUACUAAACAUAUCGUAGAAGCUAUGAUGAAAGCUCAUGAAGAAAAGCUAGGGUUGGAGGUUUCAAUACCUAGGAAAUUGCAUGAUAAAUGGGAACCUACUAAUAAAGUAAAUAUUAAAUAUUAUGAAUGUGAUGCUCUAUGUGAUUUAGGUGCUAGCAUUUCCACUAUACCACAAUCUUUAUGUGAUCUGUUAGUCCUUGUUGAUAUGGAUGAAUGUCCCUUAAUUUGCACUUAGCGGAUCCAACUAUUAAGAAACCAUUGGGUAGAACAAAUGAUGUGCUUCUUAUUGCUAAUAGAAAUUAUGUGCUCGUGGAUUUCAUUGUGCUUGAUAUUGAAUGUCAUCUGUCUUGUCCUAUAAUACUUGGUAGGCCUUUCCUACGAACCAUAGGUGUUAUUACUCAUAUGAAAGAAGGAAACAUAAGGUUCCAAUUUCCAUUAAAUAAAGGAAUGGAACACUUCCUGUCGAAUUUCGGGUUCUGCAGACCCUUGAAAGGUUCGAACUCUGGGGUGCGUGCGAAGAACUCGUCCUCCCCAGUCUGCCUGCUCACUAAUCCCAUGGCCUAGCUCGACGAACCGAAUGGACAAGGGACAAAACAGUUUACCCAGCUUCGGGCCACCUUGCGGUGUAAAACCCUACUCCUGCUUUUUGGUGGAUUGGCCUCGAGGGGCUGAGGAUGAACUAAUAUAGUGGAGAACAGCCUCAGGAGGAGGGGUAUUCUUGUGCUCGAUGAGCUGGUGGGUGAGAGGAUGAUCUGAAUGAUCCCCCUUCUAUGGUGGUGGCUAGGUCCUAUUUAUAGUUGCUUUGGUCCUCUUCCCAAAUGAAGGCGGGAAGGGAUCCCACAAUGGCCAAAUUUGAAGGGAGACAACUAGUACAUGCUAUCCUAACAAAAGUAGUCUUCGCGUGCCAAAAGCUUCUGGUCAUGACGCCGUGGUGGGCUCGACGAUGACCUCUGUUCUGUUGUCCUGGCGGUCUUGGUCUUGUUGCACCGGAAUGAAAACCUUUGCUUGAUUCCUCGGGACUCCGCGCAUGCGCUUGCCUCCUUAGCACGAAAGAGAAAACUGAUACACUGCGCCUGCUGGCGCCUUCCUGGCCUUGGUCAUCAUGGCUCACGUCAUCCGAACCUCGCGAGGUGCACCUUGCAUAGAUAUCUCCGCUCCUCGGGAGCCAGCCUGGGGAGGCCGCCCCACAUGGAGGUCUUGGUUUCGUUCGCUUCGCGAGGCUUGGGCCCUUGCGAGGGUCUUGAGCUGUUGAUAUUGAAGCUGGUCCGUACCAGGCCGUUGAUGGAUCCACGCCAUGGGCCGCAGGCAGGCAAGUCUGGGUACCCCCGUUCCCAGAACACCGACAAUAGCCCCGGGCCCAAGGUGCGCUUGAACUUGGCUUCGAGGUGAGGCCAAAGGGCAAGUGCGGAGCGCCGCGGGCCCUAACCGCCUAUGGCAUUGGUUGACGCGUGGUGUUUGAUGGGACGUGGGCACCUCCGCUUCCCCAUGCUGUGAUGUCGCUUGAAGCUACAUCGGUAUUUCCCCAAAGAGGAAGGGAUGAUGCAGCACAACGGCGGUAGGUAUUUCCCUCAGAUAUGAAACCAAGGUUAUUGAACCAGUAGGAGAACCAAGCAACACAAUGUAAACAACCCCUGCACACAGAUAACAAAUCCUCACAACCCGACGUGUUAAAGGGGUUGUGAAUCCCUUUCGGGUAACGGUGCCAGAAAUUGGUGCUUGACGGGAAAAAGUUGUAAUAGAUUGAAUAACUAGAUUGCAAAUAAAAUAAAGUGUUGCAAAGUAUUUUUGGGUUUUUGGAUUAAUAGAUCUAAGAAUAAAAGAAAAUAAAAGUAGACCGCAAAUGCAAAUAAUAUGAGAAAAAGACACGGGGGCGUAGGUUUUACUAGUGGCUUCUCUCGAGAAAAAUAGCAAACUGUGGGUGAACAAAUUACUGUUGGGCAAUUAAUAGAACUUCAAAUACUCAUGACGCUAUCCAAGAAAUGAUCAUUACAUAGGCAUCACAUCCAAUAUUAGUAGACCGACUCCUGCCUGCAUCUACUACUAUUACUCGACACAUCGACCGCUAUCCAGCAUGCAUCUAGUGUAUUAAGUUCAUGGAGAAAUGGAGUAAUGCAAUAAGAACGAUGACAUGAUGUAGACAAGAUCUAUCUAUGUAGAGAUAGACCCCAUCAUUUUAUCCUUAGUAGCAACGAUACAUACGUGUCGGUUCCCCUUCUGUCACUGGGAUCAAGCACUGUAAGAUUGAACCCACUACAAAGCACCUCUUCCCAUUGCAAGAUAAAUAGAUUAAGUUGGCCAAAAAAAAACCAAAUAUCGGAGAAGAAAUACGAGGCUAUAAGCAAUCAUGCAUAAAAUAUAUCAAAGAAACUCAAAUACUUUCAUGGAUAUAAAAAGAUAGAUCUGAUCAUAAACUGAAAGUUCAUCGAUCCCAACAAACACACCGCAAAAGAGUUACAUCAUAUGGAUCUCCAAGAGACCAUUGUAUUGAGAACCAAGAGAGAGAGAGAGAUGAAGCCAUCUAGAUACUAACUACGGACCCAAAGGUCUACAAAGAACUAGUCAUGCAUCAUCAGAGAGGCACCAAUGGAGGUGGUGAACCCCAUCCGAGAUGUUGUCUAGAUUGGAUCUGGCGGUUCUGGACUCUACGGCGACUAGAUGAAUAUUUCGUUGAAUCCCCUAGGGUUUUGGGAAUAUUUGGGUAUUUAUAGAGCAAAGAGGCAGUCCGGGGGGCACCCGAGGUGGGCACAACCCACCAGGGCGUGCUUGGGCCUCCCGACGCGCCCUGGUGGGUUGUGCCCCCUCGGGGCACCCCCAAGCGCAGCCAGGGCCCGUUGUGUUUCUUUUGGCCCAUAAAAAAUUCUCCGUAGAGUUUCAUGGCAUUUGGACUCCGUUUGAUAUUGAUUUUCUGCGACUAAAAAACAUGGGGAAAACAGUAACUGGCACUUGGCACUAUGUCAAUAGGUUAGUACCAAAAAAUGAUAUAAAAUGAUUAUAAAACAUCCAAGAUUGAUAAUAUAACAACAUUGAACAAUGAAAAAUUAUAUAUACGUUGGAGACGUAUCAGUAUCCCCAAGCUUAACUCCUACUCGUCCUUGAGUAGGGAAGUGAUAAAAACAAAUUUUUUGAUGUGGAAUGAUGUCUAACAUGUCAUAUCAUAUUCUUUUCUUUAUAGCAUGGACAUUUGGACUUUUAUAUUGUUCAAAGCAAUAGUCUAGUUUUGACAUGAUAAUUUAAAUACUCAAGCAUAUCAACAAGCAAACAUAUCUUUCAAAAUAUUGACGCUAAAAUAAGCUAUCCCUAGCCCAUCAUGCUCAACCAAUGAUCCAUUCAUGAAACACACUCGCAUAUUAGCUACAUCCAAUACUCAAGUACGAUCAUAUUGCCUCCUAGUUGGUGCUUUGAUAAGAUAAGAUGGAGACUCAAAUUCAAUAUAAAAAUUGCAUAAAGUAAAAGAAAGGCCCUUCACAGAGGGAAGAGCGGAUUUGUAGAGGUACCAGAGCUCAAAGCGAAAAACUUAGAGAUAAAAACAUUUUGGGAGGUGUAUCACUGGUACGCGUCGGUCAUAUACAAAUGGUUUUUAACCCCUUUCCACGACAGCAUUUGGAACCGUCGCCAAGUGAGUGUGGGUGAUAGGGGGGUCCUUCCCACACGACCUAGAAAACUGUCGGGGGAUAUGCCCUCCUGGCACACACGCUCGGCAAAAUGAGGCCGUGUGCGACCAACGAGUGCUCACAUACGGAAAUACGUACAGUAGAGCUAAAAAAUACAAUUAUGCAGCAAAAUUGUUUCCGGUCGCAAGUACAACCCACACAGUCAGUCCCCGCUAAACAUUUCCGUUCGUAUGUACAUCCCACAUAGUCGCUUCAAGGAAAACUUUUCCGUUCACAGGUACAUCACACACAAUUUUCCCGUUAAAUCGUUUGCGUUAUUGUAUGUAUGACACAUGGUCCGUAGAAGAAACUUUGUGGCAAAGGCUGUCCAUCACACACAGUUUUUAUGUGGUAAACAUUUGCAAAAGGUUGUCUAACGCAAACAGUUUUCAAGAGAAAGUCGUGUGUGAUUGUUUAUUGAUCCAACACGGUUUAUUCCUAGAAUCUGUGUGCGUUGCCUGAGGUCAUCGCCCACGGUAUUUUUUCAACAACCGUUUGCAACAGCAAAACCCAAUUAGCAGGCUAAUUCGCCAUUAGCAGGCUAAUUGCCCUAUUAUUAAUAAUCCAUUUAUUAAUCUAAUUGACAUUCAUAUUAAGCACAUAAUAUAUUUCGUUUCAAUAUUAAGGAAGCAGAAUUUCAUAAUUGAAAUACAUUAGAGUACAACAUGAUAUAGCUUCAACACUCAGCAACCCCAUUACACAACUGCACCAGCACCAAGUUUCACAUGCAACAUGUAGAACCUUUCAAAAUUAGCAUCAUAGACGAUAUAUAGACAGAUGCAUCUCAUCUGGAAAACUGCUGAAGCGGAAGGCGAAUAUUGAGCCUUCAUUCAUGUUGAAGGUCUUUGCAACUUUAGGCCAGUGCCUGUGGAUGAUUGACCGUUCGUCGUUUGUCCUCUUCAGGAACACUUCAAUAUUGAACCGUGGGUGUUGUAUGAAAACCUUCCUCACCUCCUGACCAUAGAGGUGGGUUGAGAGGUAAUCAUCAGAGAACUGCUUUGGAAAGGCCUGAAAACAAGAAUGUGCAUAAAUAUCUUCUCUAUAUUGGAAAUGGGGCAAAGGAAUUAAAAAAAGGCUAGGUAUAAUAGUUAGUACCAUCUUGUAGUGAACUAAUGUCUUCUUCAUUGUGCAGACAAAGGUCUUGUUGUUUUUUGUUGCUAAUUUCUUUAUCCUAAAAAUCUUUCUGAGUUUCUUGAUUUGAUUGAUAUUCAUGGACAACUCAUUUCCCCAUAUGCAAAAAGGGUCGAACAGUGGGUCAAAACCUCUGACAGCAGGACCUACAUGUGCAAGACCAAAUUGUUAAAAACCAAAAUAUUAGAAUGGUUCCUGCAACUGCACAAUAAUGUGCUAUUAGACAACGGACCAUGCACGUGCUAACCUCGAUUGUGAACCUCAGUGCUUCCCAUUGUUUCCCUGCAACACAUAUAAGGUAGUUAGUCAUCAGGUUAAGUAUUUACUAUAGCCAAAUUCAAUUUAUUCCUCACAUGGUAUAUAAUAACAUAAUGCACCCACAACUAUUGAACAUCGCAUUGCAGAAUUGAACCAAAUAGUUAACUAAACACCACAACACAAAUGAACCAAACGUUAACUGAGCACCACAUUGCACAAUGUAUAACCAAACCAAGCAUGCUCGACAACUUGGAAAUAUAGAAAUUGUAUUCGUUUCUCAUGUAUUUUGUAAAGAUAAAUUUGAUUUAUUUCUCACAUGGAAGACAAUACAAAAUUGCAGCCUAAAGAAUUGAACAUCACAUUUGCAUAAUUAAACCGAACAGCUAACUGAAGACGACAACUAAUUAACAAAACAGUUAAUAAGUGAGCACCACACUGCACGGCAUAUAGAACAUAUACACUAGAGCAACAGAUUGCAUGAUAAAAUUAGAUAGCAGAAUUCACUAGAAUUUGUGAAGGAAAGGUAGGAGCAGCACACGCAACGGGUAAACCGAGCAUGCUUAACCGGCAUAGGUAGCAAAUGGUAAGGUGCUCCUCCAAGAUCUAGGGAUCAGUACGAAUGGCAGUCCUUGCGACCUCAUCCGCGCUUGCGGCCGCGAUUUGCUUCUCCGCUGCCAAAUGCUCCUUGAGAUCCUGGCUAUACUGCAUGCACCAUGGCUUAGGGCCACGCUUAUUUGGUGGAGGGGUCGGUGAUUUGGGUGGAACAGGUCGUGCUCGUGCCGACGGUCGGGGCAUGUGGGAUGUGGAAGGAGGAGGAGGAUGGGGGUCGGGUGUGGAUUACCUGCCUGGAUAGAUGAGGCCGAGCAGCGUGAAGGAGGGUCGCCGAUGAGGAGGCGGCACUACAAGCAAGGAGUGAAGGUUUCAACUUGGAAAGGAAGGCGAAAACAGGGGAAAUGUGGCUUUUGGUAAGGGGGAGGGGGAGGGGAGGUAGAUAUUUCCAUGGAAGCCGAAAAUUUGGAAUCACUUCAGUGAAAAAACUGGCGCGCAAGGUGUCAUGAGAAACGGUCUAUUGGGGAUAUAACUAUUGGGUAUGACCCGCCCAGGAGGGGCCGAGUUAUACCAACGAUGGUUCAUCAAGACAAAGCUCAUGAAGAUGUGGAGAUGGCGGUUCAUGAAGCAGACUUGCUAAGGGCCCGAAGCCCAAAGGCGACUUAAGGCCCAUAGGUGUAAACCGCCAUAUAUGUAUGACUUGGAUUGUAAGGCAAGUAUAAUUAGUCACCGAGCCGGACACAUUGAUGAUGAGCCGGCCCGGACCCUGUGAGUCGCCGGGCGUCAACCCGUGUAUAUAAAGGGACGACCCGGCGACGGCUUAGGACAAGAAACAAGAGAGACCCAAAGCUAGGUUAAGCAUAUUCGCUCCCUGGUAAUCGGAACCCAAGCAAUACUACCUCAACUGGAGUAAGCUUUUACCUUCAUAGCAAGGGGCCGAACCAGUAUAAACUCCUGUGUCCUUUGUCCCGUUUAACCCCUUCAAGCUAACCUAGUUGCGAUGGCUGCAUGACUAAGUCCUUCCACUAGGACGUCUACCGUGACAAUUCCACGACAGUUGGCGCCCACCGUGGGGCUGGCGCAUGGUGGUUUCGAGUUCUUGAAGGGCAGCUUCGAAGGGAUCAAGGGAUACGCUAUGGGCCGGAUGACUAAGAGUUGUCAUGGCAAGCUCUACAUCGACGAUGCAGGCUGGGGCCCCGAGGCCGGCUCAAUCGAGUACGAGUACCAGGUCCCCUUUAGCGGAAUCGACAUCUUCAUUGGCAGGGUUGGCGAACUGGGCCCUGAGCCGGACAUCUGCACCGACAUCAUCGAGACGGCUCAGCAUGCACGGUCCGCCCGGGUUCAACCCACCAUGAAGCGUGCCUUUGUUGAUUUUAUCCAUGGGGUAGAAAUUAAAGAUGGAUCUGUAUCUGGCAGUGAGACGGCCAUCUAUUCUGAUGGUGGAUCAUCCAUAGGUGAGACCAACUCAUUGUAUCAACUUCAAGACGGAUGGCUUGGGGGCUAUUCCGAUGGUGAAUGUAUUCCGGACCCCUGCGAGCCGCCGAACAGAGUUGCGGUUUUCAUCGCUGGUACACAACCGAUGCUUGGUUCAUCAACCGUUGCGGCCAUGAUCUCUAGCUCCAUGGCCUUAGCGGCGGCUGGUGCUGGUGGCCCUGCGCACCCGCCGACUCAAGUUCUCACUGAGUUGUUGGAGGCAUUAGCAACUUUGAUGGGGGUGGAGGUAACCCCGGACAACCAGGAUCAGCAUAAGGCAGAUGUGGCUAAGUUGCGGGAUGAGAUAGCUCAAUCCAAGGAGGACUUGGCAGCUAAGAACACCAGGAUGGCUGCAGAACAGGCCGUUUUGGACGCAUAGGCGCAGCGAAUCCAAGCCGACUCCUUCUGGCUCACGUUCGAUCAGAAUGCUUCAAAUGAGGUCAUGAGAAGGAGACACCGGAGUCUUCUACCCCCGGUUUAUGAGCCAAGAAUCCUCUUUAACAUGCCAGGAGUAGGGACCAGUGACCCGCCGGUGGUAAAUCGAACGACUGAAGCGCCUAGGGGUGGAGCGCCGGUUCAGCCUCGAGUGAUGGGCUCUCCACGUGUGAACAAUUCCCCGCCUCAACAUGUUCUGACGCCACCGAGUCAUUAUUCUAGCCCGUUGGACAAUAUGAUUGCUGCAGCAACACGAUUGGCGGCUCUGCCAGUUGAAGGCGAGUCUCCGACGGCGGUUGAAACUGUUGGGGAACGUAGUAAUUUCAAAAAAUUUCCUACGCACACGCAAGAUCAUGGUGAUGCAUAGCAACAAGAGGGGAGAGUGUUGUCUACGUACCCUCAUAGACCGUUUGCGGAAGCGUUAUAUCAAUGCGGUUGAUGUAGUCGUACGUCUUCACGUCCGGCCGAUCCAAGUACCGAAAGCACGGCACCUCCGAGUUUUGCACACGUUCGGCUCGGUGACGUCCUCGCCUUCUCGAUCCAGCAAGAGGGGCGAAGUAGUAGAUGAGUUCCCGCAGCACGACGGCGUGGUGACGGUGUUGGUGAAGAACAAUCUCCGCAGGGCUUCGCCUAAGCACUACGAAAACUAUGACAGAGGAUAAACUAGAGGAGACGGGGUUGCCAGCACACGGCUUGGUGUUUCUUGAUGUGUCCUUUGUGGUAGCCCUGCCCCUCUAUUUAUAUGUUGAGCCCUGGGGUCGAAACUUGGAGUAAAAGCCUCCACAAAGUCGGUUUCACCCGAAAGGCAAGAGUCCUUCUCGGACUCCAGGGCCAGACGCCAGGGUUCCCGGCGUCUGGACCCAGACGCCAGGGACCCUGGCGUCUGGCCCCUGGACUCCGCAAAACUUCCUUUUGCGCUUUCCAAAAACCUUGUGGGCUUUCCCCUUUGUCCCAAAUAAAGUGUUCUCGUACCCAAACAUUUCGGGAAACAUCCGGAACCCCUUCCGGUGAUUUCCGGAACCCUUCCGGUGACCAAACAAUAUUAUCACAUAUAUCAAACUUUAUCUCCGGACCAUUCCGGAGUUCCUUGUCAUGUCUGUGAUUUCAUCCUGGACUCCGAACAACAUUCGGUCACCAACAUACAUAACUCACAUAGUACUAUAUCAUCAACGAACGUUAAGCGUGCGGACCCUACGGGUUCGAGAACUAUGUAGACAUGACCGAGACACCUCUCUGAUCAAUAACCAAUAGCGGCACCUGGAUGCCCAUAUUGGCUCCUACAUAUUCUACGAAGAUCUUUAUCGGUCAGACCGCAUAACAACAUACGUUGUUCCCUUUGUCAUCGGUAUGUUACUUGCCCGAGAUUCGAUCGUCGGUAUCCAAUACCUAGUUCAAUCUCGUUACCGGCAAGUCUCUUUACUCGUUCCGUAAUACAUCAUCUCACAACUAACAUAUUAGUUGUAAUGCUUGCAAGGCUUAUGUGAUGUGCAUUACCGAGAGGGCCCAGAGAUACCUCUCCGACAAUCGGAGUGACAAAUCCUAAUCUCGAAAUACCCCAACCCACAUCUACCUUUGGAGACACCUGUAAUGCUCCUUUAUAAUCACCCAGUUACAUUGUGACGUUUGGUAGCACCCGAAGUGUUCCUCCGGCAAACGGGAGUUGCAUAAUCUCAUAGUCAUAGGAACAUGUAUAAGUCAUGAAGAAAGCAAUAGCAACAUACUAAACGAUCGGGUGCUAAACUAAUGGAAUGGGUCAUGUCAAUCAGAUCAUUCAACUAAUGAUGUGAUCCCGUUAAUCAAAUAACAACUCCUUUGUCUAUGGUUAGGAAACAUAACCAUCUUUGAUUAACGAGCUAGUCAAGUAGAGGCAUACUAGUGACACUCUGUUUGUCUAUGUAUUCACACAUGUAUUAUGUUUCCGGUUAAUACAAUUCUAGCAUGAAUAAUAAACAUUUAUCAUGAUAUAAGGAAAUAAAUAAUAACUUUAUUAUUGCCUCUAGGGCAUAUUUCCUUCAGUCUCCCACUUGCACUAGAGUCAAUAAUCUAGAUUACAUAGUAAUGAUUCUAACACCCAUGGAGUCUUGGUGCUGAUCAUGUUUUGCUCGUGGAAGAGGCUUAGUCAACGGGUCUGCAACAUUCAGAUCCGUAUGUAUCUUGCAAAUCUCUAUGUCUCCCACCUGGACUAGACCCCGGAUGGAAUUGAAGCGUCUCUUGAUGUGCUUGGUUCUCUUGUGAAAUCUGGAUUCCUUUGCCAAGGCAAUUGCACCAGUAUUGUCACAAAAGAUUUUCAUUGGACCCGAUGCACUAGGUAUGACACCUAGAUCGGAUAUGAACUCCUUCAUCCAGACUCCUUCAUUUGCUGCUUCUGAAGCAGCUAUGUACUCCGCUUCACAUGUAGAUCCCGCUACGACGCUUUGUUUAGAACUGCACCAACUGACAGCUCCACCGUUUAAUGUAAACACGUAUCCGGUUUGCGAUUUAGAAUCGUCCGGAUCAGUGUCAAAGCUUGCAUCAACGUAACCGUUUACGAUGAGUUCUUUGUCACCUCCAUAUACGAGAAACAUAUCCUUAGUCCUUUUCAGGUACUUCAGGAUGUUCUUGACCGUUGUCCAGUGAUCCACUCCUGGAUUACUUUGGUACCUCCCUGCUAAGCUUAUAGCAAGGCACACAUCAGGUCUGGUACACAGCAUAGCAUACAUGAUAGAGCCUAUGGCUGAAGCAUAGGGAACAUCUUUCAUUUUCUCUCUAUCUUCUGCAGUGGUCGGGCUUUGAGUCUUACUCAAUUUCAAAACUUUGUCAAGGUAUGUGCUUUGUGAAAGUCCAAUUAGGCGUCUUGAUAUAUAUCUAUAGAUCUUAAUGCCUAAUAUGUAAGCAGCUUCACCGAGGUCUUUCAUUGAAAAACUCUUAUUCAAGUAUCCCUUUAUGCUAUCCAGAAAUUCUAUAUCAUUUCCAAUCAGUAAUAUGUCAUCCACAUAUAAUAUCAGAAAUGCUACAGAGCUCCCACUCACUUUCUUGUAAAUACAGGCUUCUCCAAAAGUCUGUAUAAAACCAAAUGCUUUGAUCACACUAUCAAAGCGUUUAUUCCAACUCCGAGAGGCUUGCACUAGUCCAUAAAUGGAUCGCUGGAGCUUGCACACUUUGUUAGCUCCCUUUGGAUCGACAAAACCUUCUGGUUGCAUCAUAUACAACUCUUCUUCUAGAAAUCCAUUCAGGAAUGCAGUUUUGACAUCCAUCUGCCAAAUUUCAUAAUCAUAAAAUGCGGCAAUUGCUAACAUGAUUCGGACAGACUUAAGCAUCGCUACGGGUGAGAAAGUCUCAUCAUAGUCAACCCCUUGAACUUGUCGAAAACCUUUUGCGACAAGUCGAGCUUUGUAGACAGUAAUAUUACCACCAGCGUCAGUCUUCUUCUUGAAGAUCCAUUUAUUCUCAAUUGCUUACCGAUCAGUGGGCAAGUCAACCAAAGUCCAUACUUUGUUCUCAUACAUGGAUCCCAUCUCAGAUUUCAUGGCUUCAAGCCAUUUUGCGGAAUCUGGGCUCACCAUCGCUUCUUCAUAGUUCGUAGGUUCAUCAUGAUCUAGUAGCAUGACUUCCAGAACAGGAUUACCGUACCACUUUGGCACGGAUCUCACUCUGGUUGAUCUACGAGGUUCAAUAGUAUCUUGAUCUAAAGUUUCAUGAUCAUCAUCAUUAGCUUCCUCACUAACUGGUGUAGGUGUCACUGAAACAGUUUUCUGUGAUGUACUACUUUCCAAUAAGGGAGCAGGUACAGUUACCUCGUCAAGUUCUACUUUCCUCCCACUCACUUCUUUCGAGAGAAACUCCUUCUCUAGAAAGGAUCCAUUCUUAGCAACGAAUGUCUUGCCUUCGGAUCUGUGAUAGAAGGUGUACCCAACAGUCUCCUUUGGGUAUCCUAUGAAGACACAUUUCUCCGAUUUGGGUUCGAGCUUAUCAGGUUGAAGCUUUUUCACGUAAGCAUCGCAGCCCCAAACUUUAAGGAACGACAACUUUGGUUUCUUGCCAAACCAUAGUUCAUAAGGCGUCGUCUCAACGGAUUUUGAUGGUGCCCUAUUUAAUGUGAAUGCGGCCGUCUCUAGAGCAUAACCCCAAAACGAUAGUGGUAAAUCUGUAAGAGACAUCAUAGAUCGCACCAUAUCUAAUAAAGUACGAUUACGACGUUUGGACACACCAUUACACUGUGGUGUUCCGGGUGGCGUGAGUUGCGAAACUAUUCCACAAUUUUUCAAAUGUACACCAAACUCGUAACUCAAAUAUUCUCCUCCACGAUCAGAUCGUAGAAACUUUAUUUUCUUGUUACGAUGAUUUUCAACUUCACUCUGAAAUUCUUUGAACUUUUCAAAUGUUUCAGACUAAUGUUUCAUUAAGUAGAUAUACCCAUAUCUGCUCAAAUCAUCCGUGAAGGUGAGAAAAUAACGAUAUCCGCCAUGAGCCUCAAUAUUCAUCGGACCACAUACAUCUGUAUGUAUGAUUUCCAACAAAUCUGUUGCUCUCUCCAUAGUACCGGAGAAUGGUGUUUUAGUCAUCUUGCCCAUGAGGCACGGUUCGCAAGUACCAAGUGAUUCAUAAUCAAGUGGUUCCAAAAGCCCAUCAGUAUGGAGUUUCUUCAUGCGCUUUACACUGAUAUGACCUAAACGGCAGUGCCACAAAUAAGUUGCACUAUCAUUAUCAACUCUGCAUCUUUUGGCUUCAACAUUAUGAAUAUGUGUAUCACUACUAUCGAGAUUCAUCAAAAAUAGACCACUCUUCAAAGGUGCAUGACCAUAAAAGAUAUUACUCAUAUAAAUAGAACAACCGUUAUUCUCUGAUUUAAAUGAAUAACCGUCUCGCAUCAAACAAGAUCCAGAUAUAAUGUUCAUGCUCAACGCAGGCACCAAAUAACAAUUAUUUAGGUCUAAUACUAAUCCCGAAGGUAGAUGUAGAGGUAGCGUGCCGACCGCGAUCACAUCGACUUUGGAACCAUUUCCCACGCACAUCGUCACCUCGUCCUUUGCCAGUGUUCGCUUCCGUAGUCCCUGUUUCGAGUUGCAAAUAUUAGCAACAGAACCAGUAUCAAAUACCCAGGUGCUACUGCGAGCUCUAGUAAGGUACACAUCAAUAACAUGUAUAUCACAUAUACCUUUGUUCACCUUGCCAUCCUUCUUAUCCACCAAAUACUUGGGGCAGUUCCGCUUCCAGAGACCAGUCUGCUUGCAGUAAAAGCACUCAGUUUCAGGCUUAGGUCCAGACUUGGGUUUCUUCUCUUGAGCAGCAACUUGCUUGCUGUUCUUCUUAAAGUUCCCCUUCUUCUUCCCUUUGCCCUUCUUGAAACUAGUGGUCUUGUUGACCAUCAACACUUGAUGCUCCUUCUUGAUUUCUACCUCCGCAGCUUUCAGCAUUGCGAAGAGCUCAGGAAUAGUCUUGUUCAUCCCUUGCAUAUUAUAGUUCAUCACGAAGCUCUUGUAGCUUGGUGGCAGUGAUUGGAGAAUUCUGUCAAUGACGCAAUCAUCUGGAAGAUAAACUCCCAAUUGAAUCAAGUGAUUAUUAUACCUAGACAUUUUGAGUAUAUGCUCACUGACAGAACUGUUCUCCUCCAUCUUGCAGCUAUAGAACUUAUUGGAGACUUCAUAUCUCUCAAUCCGGGCAUUUGCUUGAAAUAUUAACUUCAACUCCUGAAACAUCUCAUAUGCUCCAUGACGUUCAAAACGUCGUUGACGUCCCGAUUCUAAGCCGUAAAGCAUGGCACACUGAACUAUCGAGUAGUCAUGAGCUUUGCUCUGCCAGACGUUCAUAACAUCUGGUGUUGCUCCAGCAGCAGGCCUGGCACCCAGCGGUGCUUCCAGGACGUAAUUCUUCUGUGCAGCAAUGAGGAUAAUCCUCAAGUUAUGGACCCAGUCCGUGUAAUUGCUACCAUCAUCUUUCAACUUUGCUUUCUCAAGGAACGCAUUAAAAUUCAACGGAACAACAGCACGAUCCAUUUAUCUACAAUCAACAUAAACAAGCAAGAUAGUAUCAGGGACUAAGUUCAUGAUAAAUUUAAGUUCAAUUAAUCAUAUUAGUUAAGAACUCCCACUUAGAUAGACAUCCCUCUAAUCUUCUAAGUGAUCACGUGAUCCAAAUCAACUAAACCAUAACCGAUCAUCACGUGAGAUGGAUUAGUCUUCAAUGGUGAACAUUAUUAUGUUGAUCAUAUCUACUAUAUGAUUCACGCUCGACCUUUCGGUCUCCGUGUUCCGAGGCCAUAUCUGCAUAUGCUAGGCUCGUCAAGUAUAACCCGAGUAUUCUGCGUGUGCAAAACUAGCUUGCACCCGUUGUAGAUGGACGUAGAGCUUAUCACACCCGAUCAUCACGUGGUGUCUGGGCACGACAAACUUUGGCAAAGGUGCAUACUCAGGGAGAACACUUCUUGAUAAUUUAGUGAGAGAUCAUCUUAUAAUGCUACCGUCAAUCAAAGCAAGAUAAGAUGCAUAAAAGAUAAACAUCACAUGCAAUCAAUAUAAGUGAUAUGAUAUGGCCAUCAUCAUCUUGUGCCUGUGAUCUCCAUCUCCGAAGCACCGUCAUGAUCACCAUCGUCACCGGCGCGACACCUUGAUCUCCAUCAUAGCAUCGUUGUCGUCUCACCAAUCUUAUGCUUCCACGACUAUCACUACCGCUUAGUAAUAAAGUAAAGCAUUACAUCGCGAUUGCAUUGCAUACAAUAAAGCGACAACCAUAUGGCUCCUGCUAGUUGCCGAUAACUCGGUUACAAAACAUGAUCAUCUCAUACAAUAAAAUUUAGCAUCAUGUCUUGACCAUAUCACAUCACAACAUGCCCUGCAAAAACAAGUUAGACGUCCUCUACUUUGUUGUUGCAAGUUUUACGUGGCUGCUACGGGCUUAAGCAAGAACCAAUCUCACCUACGCAUCAAAACCACAACGAUAGUUUGUCAAUUUGACUCCGUUUUAACCUUCGCAAGGACCGGGCGUAGCCACACUUGGUUCAACUAAAGUUGGAGAGACUGUCGCCCACAAGCCACCUAUGUGCAAAGCACGUCGGGGGAACCGGUCUCGCGUAAGCGUACGCGUAAUGUUGGUCCGGGUCGUCUCAUCCAACAAUACCGCCGAACCAAAGUAUGACAUGCUGGUAGGCAGUAUGACUUAUAUCGCCCACAACUCACUUGUGUUCUACUCGUGCAAAUAACAUCAAACCAUAAAACCUAGGCUCGGAUGCCACUGUUGGGGAACGUAGUAAUUUCAAAAAAUUUCCUACGCGCACGCCAGAUCAUGGUGAUGCAUAGCAACGAGAGGGGAGAGUGUUGUCUACGUACCCUCGUAGACCGUUCGCGGAAGCGUUAUAUCAAUGCGGUAGAUGUAGUCAUACGUCUUCACGUCCGACCGAUCCAAGUACCGAAAGCACGACACCUCCGAGUUCUGCACACGUUCGGCUCGGUGACGUCCUCGCCUUCUCGAUCCAGCAAGAGGGGCGAAGUAGUAGAUGAGUUCCGGCAGCACGACGGCAUGGUGACGGUGUUGGUGAAGAACAAUCUCCGCAGGGCUUCGCCUAAGCACUACGAAAACUAUGACAGAGGAUAAACUAGAGGAGACGGGGUUGCCGGCACACGACUUGGUGUUUCUUGAUGUGUCCUUUGUGCUAGACCUGCCCCUCUAUUUAUAUGUUGAGCCCUGGGGUCGAAACUUGGAGUAAAAGCCUCCACAAAGUCGGUUUCACCCGAAAGGCAAGAGUCCUUCCCGGACUCCAGGGCCAGACGCCAGGGUUCCUGGCGUCUGGACCCAGACGCCAGGGACCCUGGCGUCUGGCCCCUGGACUCCGCAAAACUUCCUUUUGCGCUUUCCAAAAACCUUGUGGGCUUUCCCCUUUGGCCCAAAUAAAGUGUUCUCGUACCCAAACAUUUCAGGAAACAUCCGGAACCCCUUCCGGUGAUUUCCGGAACCCUUCCGGUGACCAAACACUAUUAUCACAUAUAUCAAACUUUAUCUCCAGACCAUUCCGGAGUUCCUCGUCAUGUCCGUGAUUUCAUCCCAGACUCCGAACAACAUUCGGUCACCAACAUACAUAACUCACAUAGUACUAUAUCAUCAACGAACGUUAAGCGUGCGGACCCUACGGGUUCGAGAACUAUGUAGACAUGACCGAGACACCUCUCUGGUCAAUAACCAAUAGCGGGACCUGGAUGCCCAUAUUGGCUCCUACAUAUUCUACGAAGAUCUUUAUCGGUCAGACCGCAUAACAACAUACGUUGUUCCCUUUGUCAUCGGUAUGUUACUUGCCCGAGAUUCGAUCGUCGGUAUCCAAUACCUAGUUCAAUCUCGUUACCGGCAAGUCUCUUUACUCGUUCCGUAAUACAUCAUCUCACAACUAACAUAUUAGUUGUAAUGCUUGCAAGGCUUAUGUGAUGUGCAUUACCGAGAGGGCCCAGAGAUACCUCUUCGACAAUCGGAGUGACAAAUCCUAAUCUCGAAAUACGCCAACCCAACAUCUACCUUUGGAGACACCUGUAAUGCUCCUUUAUAAUCACCCAGUUACGUUGUGACGUUUGGUAGCACCCAAAGUGUUCCUCCGGCAAACGGGAGUUGCAUAAUCUCAUAGUCAUAGGAACAUGUAUAAGUCAUGAAGAAAGCAAUAGCAACAUACUAAACGAUCGGGUGCUAAGCUAAUGGAAUGGGUCAUGUCAAUCAGAUCAUUCAACUAAUGAUGUGAUCCCGUUAAUCAAAUAACAACUCCUUUGUCUAUGGUUAGGAAACAUAACCAUCUUUGAUUAAUGAGCUAGUCAAGUAGAGGCAUACUAGUGACACUCUGUUUGUCUAUGUAUUCACACAUGUAUUAUGUUUCCGGCUAAUACAAUUCUAGCAUGAAUAAUUGUAACAUCCCAAAUUUUCAAUUUGGAAUGUUAUACAUUAGAUCAUCAUGCAUAUCGUAUUUUCUUGCAUUUUGGUCGAUCCUAGAAAUUUCACGCAACUCAAGGACCUUCGGAGAGAGUUGGAGAUUUCGUUAUUUUCAUAUUUGAGAGUUUUCUCGAAUUGAAAAGAGGAUCAUUUGAUUUAUUUAUUUCAUCUUCAAUAAUUUUUCCGAUAUCAAAAAUAUAAGAGAGGGAAUAAUAUGACUUUCCCAAAAUUGAGGAAAAAUGAAGAUUUAAUAAAUAGAUCAAAUUUUGUUUGCCGGAGUUUAUUUGCAUUUUAUUUGGAUAGGGAAAAAUGCGCGUUUUCAAAAAUUGCAUUUUAGGCCCGGAGAAAAGUUCAUUUUGUUCGGCUCAUUUUUAGGAGUCGGGGAAAAUUUACUUUAGAAUUUUUGGAGUUCGUUUAGUUCUCUUUUUGUUUUUUUUUCUGCGCGCUGAACCAGUUAAAAAAAAGGAGCCAGGCCAGCCGGGCCAAGGCCCAGGCCAGCCGCCGCCCCAGCUCCCUGUGCGCUAAGCGCCAGGAGCCUCGCUCGCCGAGUCCCAGCGGGACUCCAGGAGCCGGCCGUCCCUCCCUUUGGACUCUGGCCGGUUAGCCCGUUGCCUCUUUUCUUUGUUUCAUUUUCCUAUUCCUAGUCUAUUUCUUGUCCCCUACCCCAACAAACCCCCCCUCACCUAUAUAAAUACCCCCACACCCCCCUCUCCUCACACCAAAAAAACCCCAAACCCCCCCUCUCCUCCCCAAGCCGCGCACCACCCCGCGCCUNNNNNNNNNNNNNNNNNNNNNNNNNNNNNNNNNNNNNNNNNNNNNNNNNNNNNNNNNNNNNNNNNNNNNNNNNNNNNNNNNNNNNNNNNNNNNNNNNNNNNNNNNNNNNNNNNNNNNNNNNNNNNNNNNNNNNNGCCCCUCACCACCGCCGCCGCCAUAGCCGCCUCCCCUCACCCACGCCGCCGCCCUUGUGCAUCGCCGCCGCCGCCCAACGCCGCCGUUUGUGGGAGCCCCUCGCCAGAACCUCGCCGGAGGUAGCCCCGCGCCUCUCUUUUUCUUCCCCGCGGUUCGUUUCUUUUAAAAGAAACCGUUCCGGUUUUCUUUUCCGGUUUUUCUCUCCGAUUCUUCGUUUCGGUUUCUUUUCCGAAAACCCUAGAUCGGUUUUCCGUUUUCUUUUUCGGUUUCUUUUUCGGUUUCUUUUCCGAAAACCCUAGAUCGGUUUUCGUUCUUCUUUCGGACCGUUCAUCUCAGUGAUCACCGAUUAUUCCCGAUUAACGACGCCCGUUCGUUUAACCAUUCGUCUCUUUCUUUUCGUCGGAUUUAUUCCGCGAUCGCGAUCUCAGAUCUGAUCUUCGUUCUAGUUUAUCUUCUCACCCGUUUAUCGGAAUCAGGUGAUUCAAGCGCCUGGAGUUUCGUCUCGAAACCGCCGUUCCGUCUAAUCAACUUGAACAAGUUUUUGCUAUGGUAAAAUUUGACCUAGUUUCAACUUGCUAGAACCGAGUUGUUUUCUUCCGUCGUUUGUUUUCCGUCGUUUGUUCGGUUCGUUCUUUCUUUGCAACCGGAGUUCUUAAGUUGAACUUUCUGGUUCGUCCUCUCGUUCGAGUUUUACUUGUGCAUUAGAUGAGUACUUAUUGUGUGGUUACUAUUGUUUGCUUAUGAUAGAUUGACCGAAGUGUGACGAGUAGAUCUAUCAAGAGUUUUAAGUACGAAUCAACUUCAUCUACAUUGCAGGCAAGUUCACACUUUGAUCAUACCUUUUCUACAACCCAGUUUUAUUGCAUUAGAUCAAUCCUCUCACCUUGCAUGAUUAGGAUCUAAUUAAACUGUGGGAUGGGAAGUAGAUGAGGUAGUACCUAUCUCCUGUAUUAUUAUGAAACCUUUGGGAGUUACUUCUACGUUUGCUUAUUAUGCCAUGCUAUGCUAGUAGACGUGGAUUGGGUGAGUGAUAUCCAUGACAGAUGUGAGUUGAUAAUUUUAAUGGUUUAUCUAAGGUGGCAACUUAAACACACAUCUGGGUGGAUUGAGGCACCUGAUGUCUAUCAGGACUUGCCUGUUUUUUUUGGACUGCCACCCAGGCUCAAAGGGAUCAUAAGAUCUUUCAUGCUAGAAACUUCCAUGUGCAGCCACAAGCCAUUUGGGCUCUGGCAUAGUUGACUAAGUCGUGCAAACUCUUACGGGUAGACUAGCAGAUGUAGGGGAAAGUAGGUGUACCGGUCUACCCACACGUAAGGUGCUAGCGCUUCUGAAAGACUGUGUCUCGGUCAUCCGUUUCUCAAACACCAUGUAGUGCGAGAAAACAAACGGAGGCGAUCGGGUCUUGUGGGGAAAAGUGUGCAAACCUCUGCAGAGUGUACAAACUAAUCAUGAUUAGCCGUGUCCCCGGUUAUGGACAACUUGAGUAUCUAGUACUUGAAUAUCAUGUGAAUCUCAACAUGUUACUUCUAACUAAUGUUGUUGGGUUUUAAUUAUUUUUAAUUGGGAUUGAGAAUGCUGUCAACCAUUCUCAAUGUUUCACAACCACCAUGAUAGUUAAAUAAAUUUAUUCGUUUGCAGUAGGGAAAAAUUGGCUUUACGCAAAACUAUAACCAUAGAGCUUUUCCACCAGCCAAAUAUGCAUGUAGUGAUAGCCAUUGUUCAUCAUUCUCUAUGGUGUCAAUUUGCCAGUACAUUCAAUGUACUGACCCGUUUUCGGGCUGCAACGUCUCAUGUUGCAGGUUUCUUACAUCGAGUAAGUGAUACGUUAGGGUUACGAUUUCUACACUCAACUUUGCCGUUGGUGUUGAUGGGAACCCACAACCUUGUUGCUUCCGCUAUAUGGAUUGAGGUAAUAGUAUUUACGUUACUUUAUACAUGUGAUUUACCUCUGUUAUAAAUCCUUCGAGUACUGUGUGUGUCAGCAUAUCGAUCCAGGGAUGACACUUAAGCACAGAGACUUGACCCAUUCGGGUCGGGUCGCUACAAUAAUAAACAUUUAUCAUGAUAUAAGGAACUUUAUUAUUGCCUCUAGGGCAUAUUUCCUUCAGAAACAUGCAGGGCUAGAGAACUUCUUCAGACAGCAUUGGAGAAGCAAGCGGCUUAUUCUUAUAAUCGUGAGUGGCUUUACUCAACCCCUCGUCCAAGCCGGAGUUACAGCAGGCACAUUGACUCACGAGCGGUUUCAAGUGCUGAAAAACGCCGUAACCGGCCCCGUGGACAUGACCCGGCGCGCGAUGAUGCUGAUGCCCUGGCUCUGGUGGAUCAGAGCAGGGCGCGUCGGGAGGCCGAGCUGGUGGCUCAGCAAGCGGCUCACCGACAGUCUCCGGUUUACCCAACAACUUCAGUGGAAACAGGUGUGGCCUCUAAGACCUUGGGUGUGCCUUGUUUAGUGUCGGCUCUGUGUAACGAGCGUUUGCCCAAGGACUUCAAGGGUCCUCACAAGGUGCCUAAUUACACAGCAGAUCAACCUCCUGAAGCUUGGGUUGAAAGUUAUGAGAUGGCCAUGGAGAUGCUGGAUGUUAGUGAGGCUGCGUGUGCUAAGUAUUUCACCAUGAUGUUAGAACGUCCGGCUCGUACUUGGUUGAAGGGACUGCCCGCCAAUUCUAUCAGGUCAUGGGUGGAGUUGAAGGCCCAGUUUCUUCAAAACUUUAAGGAUACGUGCAAGCAGCCUAUGUCGGUCGUGGAUUUGGUGUCUUGUGUCCAAGGUGAAGGAAAGUCAAAAACCAAUUGGGUGCGCUGGGUCUCAACCAUCAUACACUCGUCAGAUAAUAUCAACAUCGGCUCAGCAGUUUUAAUGUUGGAGAAAAAUUGCCAUUUCCUCCCUCUUAAGCAGAAGCUUGGGCGACUUAAGCACCAUUGCAGUGACAUGGGGGAGCUCAUGGCAGCCCUUGUCAAGUAUGCCGACUCUGAUAGUACCAAGGACCCCGAGUCUCAUGACGAAAAGACGGGCAAGGGAAAUAAGAGUAGCAGCAUGAAGGGACAACAGUAUAACCCGACCAGUCAGGGUGGGAACGGUAAGCGCAGAGCUGAUGGAAAUUUAUACUCCAUGGCCAACACAGGUGGAUGGAAUAAUUACCAGCGUCGCAAGGGAAGGCCGGCUCAGCCUGGGGGGGAGAACUCGACCUCGAGGCAGUAAUGAAUCAGCCAUGUCCGAGGCAUGGAACAUAGGAGAGGCCAUCUAAACAUCUGUGGAAGGAUUGUUUUAUCAUGAAGGAGUUCAAGAAAUCCCAUCUUUUCUAGAAUAACCAUGGCCUGAAUGGUGGCUCGGGAUCCGGUUCUCAUGGUCUAGGUCAUGGAGGUGGCGGUUCAAAUUCUGGUUUUCAAGGCCAAGGCAAUCAGGGUGGUUACAACCAACCGAAUAAUCAGGGAAUCAACAGCAAUCUGGUUAUCAAAGUAACCCGAAGCAAUUGAAUAGUGGGCAGUACCACGUUUUCACCACGAGUUUAUGUAAGCGGGAUCAGAAGCUCCAUGAAAGGGCAGUGAACACCGUGGAGCUGGCGGUGCCCCGUUACUUGCGAUGGUCUGAACACCCUAUUCUCCGGAGCCGUGAGGAUCACUCGCCCCAGGUUGAUAAUCCGGGUCAUUUGGCGCUAGUGGUGGCACCGUAGGUUGGAGGAUACAAGUUCACUAAAGUACUCAUGGAUGGAGGCGGCAACAUUAAUAUCCUUUAUUAUGAAACUUUUCGUUGCAUGGGAUUAACAGACAAAAUUUUUAAGCCAUCGAACAUUGUUUUUCACGGUGUGGUUCCUGGUAAGUAGGCAUAUCCAGUGGGUAAAAUAUCUUUGGAGGUUGCCUUUGGAGAUGAGUACAAUUCCAGAUCUAAGACGUUGACUUUUGAAGUGGUUAAUAUCAAAAGCCCUUAUCAUGCUCUGUUUGGGCGGCCGGCUUAUGCUAAAUUCAUGGCAAGGCCUUGUUAUAUUAAUUUACAUCUGAAGAUGCCGGGUCACAAGGGAACAAUCACAGUGCAUGGGAGUCGCAAGAUAGCCUUGGAGUGUGAAGAGGGUGAUGCAGCUUAUGCUGAGUCUGUCUGCGCCACGGAGGAGCUAAAAUUUUAUAAAGAUAAUGUUGACCCGGUAGAUAUGACAUCCUUGAAGAAGCCAACCACAUAGCAUGAUUCUUUAUUGAAGUUUAAGUUGGCAGAUGACACUAAGCUAGUUGACUUUGUUCCUGGCGACUCAUCUAAGCAGUUCAACAUCAGUGCUAAUCUAGAACCGAAAUAGGAAAGCGCGCUCAUCGAGUUCAUCCGUGAGAAUCUGGAAAUCUUUGCAUGGAAGCCUUCAGAUAUGCUAGGUGUCCCGAGGGAGCUCGCUGAGCACACUCUUAAUAUUGACCCAAAUUUUAAACCGGUCAAGAAAUUCCUUCGCCAUUUCAAUGAAGAGAGGCGUAAGGCUAUUGGUGAGGAGGUAGCCCGACUCUUGGCGGCUGGGUUCAUUGUCAAAGUUUUUCAUCCUGAGUGGUUGGCUAACCCGGUGCUGAUGCUUAAGAAAAACGGCACCUGGCGCAUGUGUGUGGAUUAUACGGACUUAAACAAGGCUUGUCCGACUGAUCCCUUUGCUCUCCCCCGUAUCGAUCAGAUUAUUGAUGCUACGGCGGGUUGUGAGCAUCUGAGUUUUUUGGAUGCUUAUUUUGGUUAUCAUCAGAUCAACAUGGCAGUUAAGGACCAGGAGAAGACAACCUUUAUUACUCCCUUUGGAGCCUUCUGUUAUGUAUCGAUGCCUUUUGGGCUCAAGAGUGCCCAGGCGACUUACCAACGGUGUGUUCAAAAUUGCCUCCAUGAUCAAAUUGGGCGCAAUGUUCACGCUUAUGUGGAUGAUAUUGUGGUGAAUUCCAGGAAGAAGGAGACCCUGAUAGAUGAUUUAAAGGAGACCUUUGACAAUCUCCGGGUCUAUAAGAUGAUGCUUAACCCGGCCGAGUGUGUUUUUGGUGUGCCAGCAGGCAAGCUUUUGGGUUUUUUGGUUUCGGAAUGAGGUAUUGAAGCUAACCCAGAGAAAAUAAAGGCUAUCACAUCCCUGGCUAAGCCGGCGUGUAUUAAUGAUGUUCAGCGUUUGGCGGGUUGUAUUGUAGCUUUAAGCCAGUUCAUAAGUCGGUUAGGUGAGAAGGCCAUCCCUCUUUAUCAGAUGAUGAAGAAGAUAGAUCAUUUUGUUUGGAGUGAUGUUGCUGAUCAGGCGUUUGAGGCCUUGAAGAAAUAGUUGGCUGAGCCGCUGGUUCUUGCUGCUCCCAUGGAUAAGGAGCCUUUAUUGUUAUAUGUGGCUACCAAUAGCCGAGCCGUCAGUGUAGCCAUUGUGGUGUAAAGGAAGGAAUCAUGCAAGGAGCAUCCGGUUCAGCGGCCAGUUUACUACAUCAGUGAGGUGCUUAUUGAGUCCAAGCAGAGGUAUCCACAUUGGCAGAAGCUUGUAUAUGGGGUGUUCAUGGCUAGCCAGAAGCUCUAGCAGUAUUUUCUGGGUCAUCCCAUCACUGUGGUUAGUUCUGCUCCCUUAGGGGAUAUUAUUCAAAACAGAGAAGCCACGGGUCGAGUAGCCAAGUGGGCCAUUGAACUUGGACCCCAUGGUUUAAAGUAUAUGCCUCGCACAACCUUCAAGUCUCAAGCACUUGUAGAUUUUAUCAAUAAUUGGACAGAGUUGCAGAUGCCUAAGGAGAAGCCGGAUAGCACAUACUGGACUAUUCACUUUGAUGGAUCUUGGCAGUUGGAGGGCUCGUGGGCUGGAGUUGUCUUGACUUCCCCAUGAGGUGAUAACUAUUCUUAUGUUUUCUGGUUGAUGUUCCCUUGUACUAACAAUGCAGCAGAGUAUGAGGCCUUGCUUCAUGGGCUUUGGAUGGCCAAAGAGAUGAACUUAAGCCGGGUGAGGUGUUUCGGUUACUCAGAUCUAGUGGCUCGGCAAGUUUCUGGUACUUGGGAUUUUAAGGAUCCACUCAUGGCGGCUUAUCGCCGAGAGGUUGAUGCUAUCGCUAGCCAUUUCAAAGGUUAUCAAGUGGAACAUGUUGAUCGCAGAAAAAAUGAGGCAGCUAAUGCUUUGAGCCGGUUACGGUCCCAGCGUAAGCCGGUGCCACCUAACACUUUCCUGGAUAUUCUGCAUACCCUUCAGUCAAAUUACCUACGGAGGAGGAUUUAGCUAUUCCUGACCCGGAAGCACAACUGGUGGUGCCUCUUCAUGUUAUUCCUGAUUGGACAGUUCCAUACAUGGCCUAUAUGACCCGGGGCGAGUUACCUGAGGAUAAAACUUUGGCCAGGUAGACAACCUGGCGGUCUAAGUCAAUGACUAUUGUCAAUGGAGAGUUGCAUCAUCGCAAUGUUAUAGGGGCAUUUCAACGUUGUGUUUCUCCUGAAGAAGGCUGUGAGAUUCUGCGAGAGACUUAUGAAGGAGAUUGUGGUCAUCAUGCCGGUUCCAAGUCUCUUGUAGCCAAGGCUUUCCGACAUUGGUUUUAUUAGCUGAAGGUUCAUGCUGAUGCUAAGGAUUUAGUUAGUAAAUGUGAUGGUUGUCAGAAAUUUGCGCGAUGAGCUCAUGUGCCGGCUCAAGAAUUGAGGAUGAUUCCAAUUGCUUGGCCGUUUGCAGUCUGGGGCAUUGAUAUGGUUGGGCCUUUCAAAAGGUCCAAGGACAAAAAGACCCACCUCCUGGUGGCGGUUGACAAAUUUACAAAGUGGGUUGAAGCAGAGCCGGUUAGCAAGUGUGACGCAGCGACAACGGUUCAAUUCAUGAAAAAAGUGAUCUUCUGGUUUGGUUUUCCCCAUAUCAUCAUAACUAAUAAUGGCACUAAUCUGUCCAAGGGUGAUAUGAAAGAGUUUGUCAGCGAGAGCAUAUUCGACUUGAUGUAUCAUCAGUGGCUCACCCCCAGUCUAAUGGUCAAGCUGAAAGAGCCAAUCAAGAAAUUUUGCGAGGCAUCAAGCCCUGGCUUAUGGUCCCUUUGCAAAGGAUGCUGGGUUGUUGGGUAGAGGAGUUACCCUCAGUGUUAUGGAGUAUCAAUACCACCCCCAACAGAUCUACGGGAUACAUGCCUUUCUUCAUGGUUUCCAGAGCAUAGGCGGUUCUCCCUAGUGACAUCCGUCACGAUUCACCCCAUGCGGCGGCUUAUGUGGAAGCUAAUAAUGGAAAAGCACGCCAGGACGCACUUGACCUGUUGGAUGAGGAGCGUGACCUUGCGGCGGCUCGUUCGGCGACUUACCAGCAAGAUCUGCGCCGUUAUCACAGCCGCUGGGUUAAAACCAGAACCUUUCAAGAAGGUGACUUGGUGCUCUGGCUUAUCCAGGAUCAGACUGAUAUGCAUAAGCUAUCCCUGCCUUGGGAAGGGCCUUUUGUGGUCAGCAAGAAUCUGAACAAUGGGUCAUACUAUCUUAUUGAUGUUCAAGAUCACAAGGACUCACGCACAUCGGAGGAGGACACCCGUCGGCUGUGGAAUAUCGCUCAUCUUCGGCCUUACUAUACUUGAGCCACCGGCUCUUGUGAUGUACAUAUUUUGACGAUGUGUAUAUUAUAAUGAAAAUAAUAAAGCCGACAUCCCUGAUAAUUCAGGGCCUCUGUCAUUUCAUUUCUUCGAAACUGAGUCUUUAUUAUCAUUUCAUAUAAAAGGCUUGAUGCCCAAAGUUACAGAGACCAAAAAGAGUUUGAUGCACAGCACAGCUCAAACAUAGGUACCUGUUGAUCACAGCUCAAAAACAUAUCACUUGGGGGCUUCCUGUUCAAUGAACAUAGCUGUAUCUACCCUCUUGAUUGGCAUGGAUGCCAGGUGUAUUCACCAAAAAUCCGGGUUAUCUGGCCUGUAUCCAAGAUGCCCUUCGACCAGGUAAUUCUGGAUGACCUGUUCUGUUCUUAACAAGUCAAUCUCUUAAAUGAGACCCUGAACUUGUCAAGGUUAAAACAUUGAUUGGGUCAUGAAAGAGCCAACUUACAGAAUGCAAGGAGAAGCUCAGGCUGAUAAGCCGCCUUCCUUGAAACUUGGUUAAACCGACAUGUUUUGCACGAUGCUACUCCGACCCCGCCAUACUCUCGAUAAGUCAAUCUUUUAAAGACCCUGAACUUAUCCAGGUUAAAAUGUCGAUUGGGUCAUGUGAGAGCCAGCUCACAGAAAGCGCGGAUACUCCAGUGGCUAUCAUGCUAGUUUCAUUGAAGAAGAUAUUUUGGCUCGGCGGCCUAUGAAAGCCUCGUGUUUUUUGGGUUCUUUAUUUAUUUUAUUGAUUUCGGAUUUGGAUCACCUCUUUUUCUUACCAUAUGGUUUUUACAACUUGGGCCAGGCAGCCCUGAUUAUGUCUCAUAUUUGGGAUAUUACCCCCUACCCUGGUUAUGGACUCUUAUGGUCACUAGUGGAAUUAUACUGGGCAUCAUGACCCGCCCUACGGUAAACCGCCAGGGCACUUAUGAUUUGUUUGUGUGCAGGAAAAAGGGAUAAAUAAUUGAUCUACAUGAUGAUAUCAUAAACAUAAGUUGCAUAGCCUCAACCGAUGGAUCAGCAGUAUCAUGUAAAAUAAAAACAUGCACGAUGGCAUGGCAGAUCAAGAGUUUCACUAGCCUAUUACAAGGCAUCUGGUGGCCCGAUAAGAACAAAUGUUUUGGAAAUGUCAAACACAAUAAAGUACUUUGCUUGAUAAGCCGGCUCAUGACUGUAGGAGGGUUGAAGCCUCCGGGUCACCUUGUGCUUCUUCUUCAUCUUCAACUCCUUGGUUAUCUAUCAGCUAGAAGUCAGGCGUAGCCCAGUCGAUACCGGUCAACGCUCUAAACACAGCCUCAUCAACAAUAAGGUUUGAUGGAUCAAUGUCAGGAGCGAAGGUAUGCUUACAAAUUGGCGGGAUGAGAUCUGUCUCCUAAUGAAUCAGUGCUUUCACCUUUUUAUUAUCAGCGUCAUAAGCUGCCUGAUACUAUGAUAGAUUGGUUUAUUUUCUUUAGCUAGCCGGGUUGCCAAUGGGCGCAUUGAUCUUACUAUAUCUGCAAAAUCAUCUACACUGAAGGGCGUCCUGUCUUCUUUUACGCUUGGGCAACCAUUGGCCAGAUCCUUCGGGUCAAGAUCUGCUUGCCAUGCUUUCUCCCGGCUUAGGGUAGUUAAAGCGCUGGCUCUGGCAGAGGCUUGUUUCAACUCUUCAAUCCUUUCGGACACUACUGACAAUCUUUCCAAUGUCUCCUUGAUAAGACUAGGUGACUGUUUUUUGUGAAGAGCAGCAGCAAUGGUCCGUUGAGCACCAAUAUUUGUUCUACCAGAGUGUAGACAGCCUUCAACCGGACGUGCAUGUCUGAGCCCAAAUUGGCGCUUCGGGAGCCUGUAUUAAUUCAUUUAUUUAUUAAGCCGACACAGUUUAUAACAGAUUCAAUGGGAUAAAUGGUAGCAGGGUUAAUACUUACCAAAGAUAGCUAGUGACAUAUUAGUAAUUUGCUGCCUUAAGCUGGACAGUUCAUCAGUUACUGACUUAAGAGCGGCUUCAGCUUCUUCUGCUCUUUUCAGUAGAGCCGCCUUUUCAGUCUCCCAGCUAUCUUUGUCAGCACUGAAGGUCUGCUUGAGCUGCUCAACGUUUGCCGAAGAAAUCCUCAAUUCUGAUUGGGCCUUGGAUGUUAAAGAUUUUUGAGUCUUUAUGUUGGCCUUCAAAUCAUUGAGUCGCGAGUCCUUCUCAAUCAAUUCAGCCUGUGACAUAAGUGCACAUAGACAAGAUUACGAUCAUGAUUACCCUUUCAAAGUCCCAAGCACAAUACAAGUAUUAUUGUUGGCACUUGGGGGCUAAUGCAUAUUGCUCUUUUUGAAGACAAAUUUUUCAAAGUCCCAAGCACAAUAUAAAUAUUAUCCUUGGCACUUGGGGGCUAAUGCCUAUUGGUGUUUUCCAAGACAAAUUUAUGACCCGGACAAAUGAUGUGAUCCGGCCUAUAAAGACGAUACAUUGGGUUGUUGAUUUUAAAACAGGAUGAUUAGUCCCGACUUAUUCAUCACUAAUUAAGCUGGCCAUUGGGGGCUACGGUUGCAAUAUUAAUUCUUGCUACUUAAAGUCCCGGUUUAACAUAUUUGUUAAGCCGGACCUUGGGGGCUACUGGAUUUUAUCUAUGCAACUAUUGAAGUUUACAGUGCAUUCUAUUCUAUCAUGUCCAAUAAACUUGGCAGCUAAGGGAAGUAUAUUCAUAUAGAAACGAGUUGCAACAUUUACCUCAUAGCGCUCUUUCAUCGGAUUCACUAAGCCGGCUUCAAAGUCACGGCUGGUGUACAGACGCUUCAAGUAACUAGAGUGGAUGUCUUGGGCACUGAAAUGGGCGUAGCUAUCCAAGUCCACCUUCCAAUUGCCUUUAUCUUCAACAGAAAUUUCUUCCUUGGCACUGUGCUAAAUAAGGUAGUAGGUUGACCCAAAGCUGUGAAUCCAACCCCAGUAAAGAUAACGUCAUCAGCUUUCUCCUCAGUAGGCUUAAUCGGGCUUGACGGCUUAGAAAUAUCCGGUUCAACAUCCAUAUGAUCUAUGGAGGCCUCAUGGUGUUGAGGCGGCGGGUCAUCAAUAAUAUUUUCAGUAGCUGGUUGUUGUUGUUCUGGCUCAGACGGGAUGACGUCGUCGGCCGGUUUAUUCAGUUUUGCUUUCUUGCUGGGUUUGGCCUGGCCCCUGAAAAUAAGAAGUGUAAAGAGGUCAGUGCAAUGCUCAGAUAUAAGGUAUAAAUAAUUGAACAUGUUCUUACCCAGGUACAGUCUUGAAGGCUGGGAUUUGAGUUCCCGUUGACUCGCCAGAGGAGGAAUGAGAAGUCCCCUGAUAGUUUGAAUCGGACGGGUUAAGAGGUUGUCAGAAAUAACCCGCCUUGGGAUAAAGUGUAUCAGAAAUAUGUAAGACCUCUGGGCGAUGUUUGCGAGCUGCGUGUUUGGUAAGAUGGAGAAAGUAAUUACACCACCACUAUGCCGGGUGGUGCAACGAGCUUCGUGUUGCUGUUUCUUCAAAAGAAAGUUGGGAUCCAAGUGAGCUAGAGGGUGAGAAAGCCUUACUUUUCGGCUUGCUUGUCGGGUUUUCUGUGUUGGCAGAGGCUCUGAGCCGGAGGAAAGAAUAAUUACCUCUGUGUCGCCUGCAUGGCUGGCUUCUGCGUCGUCCUGAUAACAAUCGUUGUCAAUGAGAUGUAUAAAAAAAGAGCCAAGUGAAUCAAGUUCUACCUAUGAUUCAUCGUCAUCAGUGUCAUCAUCAAUAUUUAAGCCGGCCAUCUCGGCGGUUUUCUUCUUGGCACGUCUUUUGGUGACCUUGGUUUUUGUACGAGCUGGCUUAACCAACUUAUCUUGCGGUUUCUUCUUCCAAAAUGGAGAGUCAGCCUGUUAAGGUCAAAAAGAUCAUGAGUGGGUGUAAUUAUGGAAAAUACUGAUGGAGCGGAAGAUGUGCAAACUUACGGCUGGCGGCUUGUUGAAGGUGCUAAAAGGACUAAGUCCUGUCGUGAUGCAUUCUUUUAAAGGUUCGUUCAUCAAUUUCUUGGUAGCUUCAUUGAUUUCUGCAUCGGACAGUUGGAUGUCACAGUGGCGCUGGGGAUCUUUCACAUUGCCAGUGUAUUCACACAUUAAGCCAAGGCGACGGCUUAAUGGCAAGAUACUCCAGGACACCCAGCACCAGACAAGGUCGACGCCGGUUAAACCAUUGGCCAUAAAGGCUCCGAGCUUUCAAAAUGAUGGUGUAUAUUUGGCCUGCUCCUUCGCACUGAGCAGUGAGGGGAGUGGAUGUGUGUUGCUAAGCCGGGAUCGCCGUAACCCAGUAAGGGAUUUUCGUUGGCUGGAGAUGUGUCUUGACAAUAGAACCAAGUUUGGUUCUAGUCUUUGGGGUGACUUGGCGGCUUAGCUAUGACGCCCCGAGACCGAUGUGCCAGGUGUCUUCCAGUUAUUCGCUGUUGUUGCCAUGUCAUUUGCUUGCGUGUUGCAUUUCAUCAUGUCAUCAUGUGCAUUGCAUCAUCAUGUUUUCAAAACCUGCAUCCGUCCGGGUUCCCCUAGUUCCGUCCGUUGUCCGUUCUGAGCCCAACCUCAGUCGCACGCGCCUGUGGCACGUCCGAAUUAUUAUUUUAUAAGUGGCCGGAAAAUGUUCUCGGAUUGGGUUGAAAGUUGGCGUGUGGUCUUAUUAUAGUGUAGAUAGACCGCCUAUCAAGUUUCAUCGCGUUUGGAGUCCGUUUGAUAGCCCAACCGUUAAACUAUAGCGGUAGUAUAGCCGGUCUUUUCGUCGGACGUUUUCGGUCUCCGAAAACCGUGCCGGGCUGCUUCUCUCCCCUAUUCUCUCACACCAACCCGCUCUCCACAGUCCACACUUAACCUCGUUCGCCUAACCCCUAUCUACACAGUGCUUCGACCCCUCGCGCGCGUCCGAGAGUUGUCCCGGACCCGACCCGGACAGUUGUCACCGUUGGAUCCGGAUCAUCCCCAAACAUCUACAAAACGUCUCCGUUUUGUUAUUUGGACUCCCUAACCAAUUUAUUCUCGACCGCCCGAUUACGAUCGGACGGACCGAAUGCCCCCUAACCUAAUCCAACAACAUAUAUAUAGAAAGCAACCCUAAUUUUGAGGAGAGUUGUCCCAUCCAUCCACUUCUUCCGCCGCCAUCCUCUCUCUAAAUCCUCCUCGGAGUCCACAUCGAGCCAACCACACAACACCAGCCAGAUCCAAAAAUUUCACCCACUUCCCUCCUGUCUCCUCGCUAGUUGGAGCCUCCGAAGCCGCAGCUCCUGCCCGUGGAGCCCCUCGUCCCCGUGCCCCUGGUUCGCUCGAUCCAGAGGAGAGGAGCAUGCCAUCGUCAGGCUCCUCCCUGCUCCCUCGCUCUAGUUUGGAUCGAGGGGAGGAGCCCCUCGACCUCGACCCGCCGCCCCGCCAAGUCGUUGGAGUCCGCCGUGGCGUCCGAUUUCCGCCGGAGUUGCUCUGUUCCUCGCACGAACCAGCAGGUCGUCCACACCGCCCUGCCCUUUUUACUCUCCUUCGCUGAAGCUCUAUCUGCCUCCCUGACCUCUCUUCCUCUCUUGGAGCAGCAGCAGCAGAAGCUUCCACCACCACGCCGUGUUUCCGUUCCUCUGCUUCGUCGCCGUCCAGGAACGCCCCGAGUCCACCACCGCCGCCCUGCUUUCCUCCUCUGCUUCGGGCCAUGUCCAGCACCACGUCGACUCCUGCAUCGCCCUAUUGUCGCGUCGUUAGCCGCCGCUGCCGUGGUCUUCCCCUUCGCCAAGUCCCAGCACCCGCGGCCCUCCGCCUCUCGCCUUCCUGCAUUUGCUGCGCCGCCGCGUUCCCCGUCGCCGUCGACCUCCAUGCCCCGCCACCGGCCUCUGUGAUUUCUGCAUCAAGCAGGAGCUCGAACCGCUGCCCUGUUCGUCUUGAUCCAACGAGACCGGGUCGGCCUCCUCGUGACCGUGUGGGUCGCUUCCUGCAGCGAGGCCCAGCACGCCCCUCUCCUCUCCGUUGUGGGCCUCGGCCCAUGGUGAGCAACACCCCAGCCCCUCUCUCUGUUGGUCUUCCUGUUCAGUUUCGGCCCGAGUCACGUUUGUUUCCGCGGAAUGUUUUUCUAUUUAACCAGUGCUCUGCAUUUUUAUAGAUUGGACCCUAUACUUCAUGCAUAUAAUAUCUCACAAACCGUGCAUCGGAUUAUAACAAACUUUAUAUGUAACAUGCUUAGAAUUUCAUCUAGUUUAAUAAUAUGCUACUUUCAUCCAUGUUAAAAAUGUUUAAACUUCUGUUUGUGUAAUUUUUGCCUAUUAUCAUGCUAAAAUGAUUUAAUUCAUAACUAAAUAACCAUAGCUCCAAAUUUAACAAACUUUAUAUGUAAAUGGGGUGGAAAAUGCCUAGUUUAACAUGGUGGCAUCAUCUUGCAUGUUUAGUAACUCUAAAAUUGUGUUUAGGGCAGAUCAGUACCAAAUUCAAAUAUUGCAUGUGGGGAUUUACCGGAAUUGUUGAUUGUUAUUUCCGGCCUCAGUUAAACUUGCCUAAAAUGUUUAGUUUACUUAUGCUCCACCUCUUGCCAUGUUUAACAACAUUUAACAUUGUUGGAUACAUAAACAAGAUCGAACUAAAUAAGUCACGUGGUGUUUCGUCAAUAUGCAACGGAUAUUGAGCUCCACUUAAUUUGUAGGGUUGUUUGUGCACUUUGCCAUGUCAUGCAUAUUUAAACCGGACAUGCAUCAUACUUGGUUGUGCAUCAUGCCAUGUUUAUGUGAUGGUUGUUUACCAUGUUGUUUGCUUCUUUCCGGUGUUGCUUCUUCGGGUUAGUUCCGUUAACGUCGCGUUUGUGAGGAUCCGUUCGACUAUGUUCGUUUGUCUUCUUCAUGGACUUGUUCUUCUUCCUUGCGGGAUCUCAGGCAAGAUGACCAUACCCUCUAAAUCACUUCUAUCUUUGCUUGAUAGUUGCUUGUUCUUUUGCUAUGCCUAUGCUGCGAUACCUACCACUUGCUUUAUCAUGCCCCCAUAUUGCCAUGUCAAACCUCUAACCCACCUUGUCCUAGCAAACCGUUGUUUGGCUAUGUUACCGCUUUGCUCAGCCCCUCUUAUAGCGUUGUUAGUUGCAGUUGAAGAUUGGAGCUUGUUCCAUGUUUGGAACAUGGAUAUUUGUUGGGAUAUCACAAUAUCUCUUAUUUAAUUAAUGCAUCUAUAUACUUGGUAAAGGGUGGAAGGCUCGGCCUUAUGCCUGGUGUUUUGUUCCACUCUUGCCGCCCUAGUUGCCGUCAUACCGGUGUUAUGUUCCUUGAUUUUGCGUUCCUUACACGGUUGGGUUAUAAUGGGAACCCCUUGAUAGUUUGCCUUGAAUAAAACUCCUCCAGCAAGGCCCAACAUUGGUUUUACCAUUUGCCACCUAGCUUUUUCUUUCCCUUGGGUCGGCCGGCUCAAGGGUCAUCUUUAUUUAACCCCCCCGGGCCAGUGCUUCUCUAAGUGUUGGUCCAACUGAGCGAUGUCCGAGGCUACCAGGGGCAACUCAGGGCUGGCCUACCCGACGUCUUGCUCAUCCGGUGUGCCCUGAGAACGAGAUAUGUGCAGCUCCUAUCGGGAUUUGUCGGCACAUCUGGGUGGCUUUGCUGGUCUUGUUUUACCAUUGUCGAAAUGUCUUGUAACCAGGAUUCCGAGCCUAAUCGGUUCUUCCUGGGAGAAGGAAUAUCCUUCGUUGACCGUGAGAGCUUGUGAUGGGCUAAGUUGGGACACCCCUACAGGGUUUUGAACUUUCGAAAGCCAUGCCCGUGGUUAUGGGCAGAUGGGAAUUUGUUAAUGUCCGGUUGUAGAGAACUUGACACUUAACUUAAUUAAAAUGCAUCAACCGCGUGUGUUACCGUGACGGUCUCUUCUCGGCGGGGUCCGGGAAGUGAACACGGUGUUGGGGUUAUGCUUGAACAUAAGUAGUCUAGGAUCACUUCUUGAUCAUAGAUUCUCGACCGUGCUUUUGCCUUCUCUUCUCGCUCUCAUUUGCGUAUGUUAGCCACCAAAUAUGCUAGUCGCUUGCUGUAGCUCCACCUCAUACCUUUUACCCUUCCUAUAAGCUUAAAUAGUCUUGAUCACGAGGGUGUGAGAUUGUUGAGUCCCCGUGACUCACAGAUACUUCCAAAACCAGUUUGCAGGUGCCGAUGAUACCGUGCAGGUGACGCAACCGAGCUCAAGGAGGAGCUCGAUGAAGAUCGUGUUCGUUAUGUUGUUCCGUUUUUCAGAUGAUCAGUAGUGGAGCCCAGUUGGGAUGAUCGGGGAUCUAUGUAGUAUUUGGGGUAGUCUUCAUCUAUUUUGGUUCCGUAGUCGGACCUUGAUUGUAUCUGGAUGUUGUAAUGUUAUAUUCAUGUAUUGUGUGAAGUGGAGAUUGUAAGCCAACUAUGUAUCUCUUUCCUUUCAGUACAUGGGAUGUGUAAAGAUUACCCCUCUUGCGACAUUGCUUACAAUGUGGUUAUGCCUCUAAGUUGUGCUUCGACACGUGGGAGAUAUAGCCGCAUCGUGGGCGUUACAUUAGCAUAGGGAAAGCUGACAUCUUUCCUCUUUUGAAUUGAAACCCCACCAAUUUUAGUGUUGGGCCCAUCAACAAAUUCAAUCUGGUGGUUUAAAUAGUAGAACUCUCUGAAUAAAUCAAUUGUGGGCUCCUCUUGAAGAUAAGCUUCACAGAACACUUGGAAAUUGCAAAUGUUGGACACGGAGUUGGGUCCGAUAUCUUGAGGGUGAAGUUGGAGAAAAUGAAGCACAUCACGGAAGAACUUUGAGCUGGGUGGGCCGAACCCCCGACUCAGGUGAUCAGCAAAAACAAUCACUUCUCCAUCCUUGGGUUUAGGAGGAAAUUCUUCACCAGGCACUACUGCAGGAUGCUACUAACGCGACACUACGAUAAAAUGACCCUUCGACGAAACUGUGUGCGAUGCAAUAAUAGCGAACGUUGGUGUAAAAGAACCACCAAAAAAGGUGCAAAACAUUUGCGAUUGAGGAGCCAUCAAACACGGUUCAGAUUUUAGUUACGUGUGUGAUUCAGGACAUACGGUUCAGUCCAAUGAACUCUGUGCAUGAGGCGGAACAAAAGAAACGGGCAGCCUGAUGAAGGCGUGUGCGAUAUACAGCAUACGGUUCACUCGGAUGAAUUGUUUGUGAUUAGGCAACACAAAAGAAACGGUCAGCCAGAUCAAGGUGUGUGUGAUUGAGGGCAUACGCUUCAGAAGGAUUAACUGUUUGCGAUUAGGCAACAGAACAGAAAUGGUUCCGCCAAAUCAAAGUGUCUGGUUGAUGGCAUACACUUCACAUGGAUGAACUGUUUGCGAUUAGCCACAACAAACUAAAACAGUUAGAUAGAUCAACGUGUGUGCGCUAGACGGGCACACACAUUCUAAUUUAAAGAAGCGUGCAUGAUGGUAAUAACGAUCGCGCAAAGUUGUUGGAACAAGACGUGUGUUGACAUUGCCUAUUGCGGUGCACCCUAUGGUGCAAACGGCACGUACGCAGCCGAGAAGGCGUACGUGCCCACGUUACGCCUUUGGGAAUAGUGCCGCACUUAUAACCGUCAGUAAAUUUUGAGCAUGUGUCCCGUCACAUUCCAAAUUGCAAACCUGUUCACACGGAUCAAAACCUAAACGGUUUCCCACUUAGGAGUGUAUUACUACGCGGUUAUAAAUACUACUACUCCAAGAUGACUGCACAUUCCUCCUCAACUCCUCAUCCACAAAAACAAACAAGUCAUUCAUCAUCGUUCCCUUGCGUCCCCCAUGGCCAGCGUGAGUUCUGGGUCGAGAGAUAGCCACCAGGGAGAGGCGAGCCUGGAAGCGAAAGCACGAGAGAUGUCCCGCCUCGCCGCGAAAGCAACCAACAAGUCCCGCGCACGGCUGUAGCAGCAGAGAGGUCCUGCCGCAACACUGAAACAACACAGAGGUCCCCCCGCACCGUUGAUGCAACAGAUUGGUCCAGCCGCGCCGCAGAAGCAGAAGAGAUGUCCCGCCGUGCCGCCAAUGCAGCAUAGAUGUCCUCCCGCGCCGCGGCAGCAUGGGAAAAUGUCUCGCGGGCAAGCGAGGACUCUUAUAGGCGCAUGCAUGCCCUCAUCCUUAGGUAGAUGGAUCAGAUCUCCAGGUGGGUGAUACGUCUCCAACGUAUCUAUAAUUUUUGAUUGCUCCAUGCUAUUAUAUUAUCUAUUUUGGAUGUCAAUGGGCUUUAUUUUACACUUUUAUAUCAUUUGUAGGACGAAAAGGAAUAUCAAACGGAGUCCAAAUGGAAUGAAACCUUCAGGAACGUGAUUUUCUCAACAAACGUGAUCCAGGAGACUUGAAGUGGGCGUCAAGAAACAAUCGAGGAGGCCACGAGGCAGGGGGCGCCUACCCCCUGGGCGCGCCCUCCACCCUCGUGGGACCCUCGUUGCUCCACCGACCUACUUCUUCCUCCUAUAUAUAUCCACGUACCCCCAAACAUCCAGGAGGACCACGAAAACCUAAUUCCACCGCCGCAACCUUCUGUACCCGAGAGAUCCCAUCUUGGGGCCUUUUUCGGAGCUCCGCCGGAGGGGGCAUUGAUCACGGAGGGCCUCUACAUCAACUCCAUGGCCACUCCGGUGAUGUGUGAGUAGUUUACUUCAGACCUACGGGUCCAUAGUUAUUAGCUAGAUGGCUUCUUCUCUCUAUUUGGAUCUCAAUACAAAGUUCUCCUCGAUCUUCUUGGAGAUCUAUUCGAUGUAAUCUUCUUUUGCAAUGUGUUUGUCGAGAUCCAAUGAAUUGUGGGUUUAUGAUCAAGUUUAUCUAUGAACCAUAUUUGAAUCUCCUCUGAAUUAUUUUAUGUAUGAUUGGUUUAUCUUUGCAAGUCUCUUCGAAUUAUCAGUUUGGUUUGGCCUACUAGAUUGAUCUUUCUUGCAAUGGGAGAAGUGCUUAGCUUUGGGUUCAAUCUUGCGGUGUCCUUUCCCAAUGACAACAGGGGCAGCAAGGCAUGUAUUGUAUUGUUGCCAUCGAGGAUAAAAAGAUGGGGUUUAUAUCAUAUUGCAUGAGUUUAUCCCUGUACAUCAUGUCAUCUUACUUAAAGCAUUACUCUCUGUUCUUAUGAACUUAAUACUCUAGAUGCAUGCUGGAUAGCGGUCGAUGUGUGGAGUAAUAAUAGUAGAUGCAGAAUCAUUUUGGUCUACUUGUUGUGGACGUGAUGCCUAUAUACAUGGUCAUACCUAGAUAUUCUCAUAACUAUGCUCAAUUCUAUCAAUUGCUCGACAGUAAUUCGUUUACCCACCGUAAUACUUAUGCUCUUGAGAGAAGCCACUAGUGAAACCUAUGGCCCCCGGGUCUAUCUUCCAUCGUAUUAAUCUUCCAACACUUAGUUAUUUCUAUCACUGUUUACUUUACUUUGCAUCUUUAUUUCUCUUUAUAUCAUAAAAAUAGCAAAAAUAUUAUCUUAUCAUAUCUAUCAGAUCUCACUCUUGUAAGUGACCGUGAAGGGAUUGCCAACCCCUUUAUCGUGUUGGUUGGGAGGUUCUUAUUUGUUUGUGUAGGUGAGUGGGACUCGGGCGUGAUCUCCUACUGGAUUGAUACGUUAGUUCUCAAAAACUGAGGGAAAUACUUACGUUACUUUACUGCAUCACCCUUUCCUCUUCAAGGGAAAACCAACGCAGUGCUCAAGAGGUAGCAACACUACAAAAAAUACACUUCCGUGAUGAUACGUGUUUGUCACAGUAGGUUGCUUUUUUUGUCAUGCAUGUACAUCCAUGACAAAUUUAUGACAGAAUUAAGAUAGUAAUAUCUGUGCUGUCGUAGAAGUGUUCCAUGACAUUACCAAAAUUAUCAUCACGGAAGUGUCCACUUCCAUGACGAUAAAUCGCGCGUCAUAGAAGUGCUUUCGUCAAGGGUGACCGACAUGUGGCAUCCACCGUAAUGGAACGCCGUUAAGCUAUCGGGUCGGGUUUUGGAUCCGAUAACCCGUUAACAGCCCCAACCAAUGGGAAAUUUCCACGUGUACGUGUCAGCUCGUCAGUGGGUCAGAUAGGCGCCUAUGAUACGUCGACACGUGGCACGGCCCAAUAGAGGCCCAUUCCUAUGAAAAGGCCGGCCCGUUUGACUUGGUCAAAAGGUGGCGGGCCGACCAAAGCCUGUUAACGGCCUGUUCGCAUAUAGCCCAUUUACAGCCCGCUAACCCAAGGCCUGUUACGCCCUAUCCGAAUUAGGCCCAAUAGCUUCAUCUGGGCCAUCCAAUAUGAUUCCAGCCCGUUUUCACUUCUGGCCCAUGUAUGGCCCAUGAUGUCUUCCGGCCCAUAUGAGGCCCUAUGUAACUCUUGGCCUAUUAAUGGCCUGUGGUGAAACUGGCCCGUAAUGAACAGUGUAUCACUUUAUACCCAUUAACGACCCGUUAUUCCGUUGGGCCGUUUCCAACCCAUGUUAUCUUUCGGCCUUCUUAGAGCCCAUUUAUUCUUGGGCUCAUUUCCAGCAUUCGUUUACUUACGGCCCGUUACUGUCAUUUUCUGCUAGUGGGCCAAAUUCAGCCUGUAGUUACAGUCGGCCCGUUUGUGGUCCGUUAAUAUGUUGGGUCGUUUUCAUAGAGUUAUCAAAUAUGGCCUAUUAUCGAUGGCCUGUUACGGUCGGCCCAUGAACGGACGAUUCCAACUCUAGCCCAUUUACGGCCAUGAUGCGGCCUGUUAUUGGCCCAUGUUUGGCCAAUUGAUCAUACGGCCCGUAUAAGGCCCAUUGAUGAUAGAGCCCGUAGAAGG
rnacentral:lncRNA from 1 species